rnacentral:lncRNA from 1 species
CAACACAGAUCGAAUUGACCUUCCACUUGAGCCUCUUCACCUAGGAGUAUUGUCGGGUGCUUCCAUAAUGGUUUCUGAGCCUAUGGUGCUUUAUGCGCAAACCAUGCACCAAUCUUGCACCUAAACUAACACUGUCUCCAAACAGAUUGAAGCGAGAUUCCAUAUAAUACACAUGAUCUAAGGGUUCUAUCGGGUGCGUCCAAAUUGAUUUCUGAGGAUAUGGUACGUUCCAUGCAAACCAUACUCCUAUCUUUCAUCAAGAUUAGCACUAUCUCCAAACAGACCGAAAUGAGCUUUCACUUGAGCCUCUUCACCUAAGAGUACCAUCGGGAACUUCCACAACGGUUUCUGAGCCUAUAGUGCACUAUGCACAAACCAUGCAACUAUCUUGCACCGAAACUAAUACUAUCUCCAACUGGACCGAAGCGAGAUUCCAAAUGAUACACUUCAUCUAGUAGUUCCAUUGGGUGCAUCUACAGUUCCAUCGGGUGUGUCCAAAUUGAUUUCUGAGCAUAUGGUAUGUUCCAUGCAAACCGUGCACCUAUCUUGCAUCAAGAUUAGAACUAUCUCCAAACAGACAGAACCAAGAUUCCACAUCAGCCUCUUCACCAAGGAGUACCAUUGCGUGCGUCCAAAAUAGUUUCUUAGCCUAUGGUGCAUUAGGCACAAACCGUGUACCUAUCUUGCACCGAAACUAACACUAUCUCCAAAGAGACCGAAGUGAGAUUCUAUAUGACACACGUCAUCUAGGAGUUCUAUUGGGUGCUUCCAAAUAUAUUUCGAAGCAUAUGGUACGUUCGAUGCAAUUCGUGCACCUAUCUUGCAUCAAGAUUAGCACUAUCUCCAAACAAAACAAACUGAGCUUCCACUUGAGCCCCUUUACCCAGGAGUAUCAUCGGGUGCAUCCAAAAUGGUUUCUUAGCCUAUGAUGCAUUAGGCGCAAACUGUGUACCUAUCUUGCACCAAAACUAACUCUGUCUCCAAACAGACCAAAGCGAGAUUGUAUAUGACACAUGUCAUCUAGGAGUUCUUUUGGGGUGCGUCCAAAUGGACUUCUUUGCAUAUGGUAUGUUCCAUGCAAACCGUGCACCUAUCUUGCAUCAAGAUUAACACUAUCUCCAAACAGAUCGAACCGACCUUCCACUUGAGCCUCUUCACCUAGGAUUAUCGUUGGGUGCUUCCAUAAUGGUUUUUGAGCCUAUGGUGCAUUAUGCGCAAACCAUGCACCAAUCUUACACCUAAACUAACACUGUCUCCAAACAGAUUGAAGCGAGAUUCCAUAUAACACACAUGAUCUAGGAGUUCUAUCGGGUGCGUCCAAAUUGAUUUCUAAGAAUAUGGUACGUUCCAUGCAUACCAUAGACCAAUCUUUCGUCAAGAUUAGCACUAUCUCCAAACAGACCGAACCGAGCUUUCACUUGAGCCUCUUCACCUAGGAGUACCAUCGGGAACUUCCACAACGGUUUCUGAGCCUAUAGUGCACUGGGCACAAACCAUGCAACUAUCUUGCACCGAAACUAAUACUCUCUCCAACUGGACCGAUGCGAGAUUCCAUAUGAUACACUUCAUCUAGUAGUUCCAUCGAGUGCAUCUACAGUUCCAUCGGGUGUGUCCAAAUUAAUUUCUAAGCAUAUGGUAUGUUCCAUGCAAACCGUGCACCUAUCUUGCAUCAAGAUUAGAACUAUCUCCAAACAAACAAAACCAAGAUUCCACAUGAGCCUCUUCACCAAGGAGUACCAUCGCGUGCGUCCAAAAUAGUUUCUUAGCCUAUUGUGCAUUAGGCACAAACCGUGUACCUAUCUUGCACCGAAACUAACACUAUCUCCAAAGAGACCGAAGUGAGAUUCUAUAUGACACACGUCAUCUAGGAGUUCUAUUGGUUGCUUCCAAAUAUAUUUCUAAGCAUAUGGUACGUUUGAUGCAAUUCGUGCACCUAUCUUGCAUCUAGAUUAGCUCUAUCUCCAAACAAAGCAAACUGAGCUUCCACUUGAGCCCCUUUACCCAGGAGUAUCAUCGGUUGCAUCCAAAAUGGUUUCUUAGCCUAUGAUGCAUUAGGCGCAAACUGUGUACCUAUCUUGCACCAAAACUAACUCUGUCUCCAAACAAACCAAAGCGAGAUUCUAUAUGACACAUGUCAUCUAGGAGUUCUAUUAGGGUGCGUCCAAAUGGAUUUCUUAGCAUAUGGUGUUCCAUGCAAACCGUGCACCUAUCUUGCAUCAAGAUUAGCACUAUCUCCAAACAGAUCAAACUGACCUUCCACUUGAGCCUCUUCACAUGGAUUAUCGUCGGGUGCUUCCAUAAUGGUUUCUGAGCCUAUGGUGCAUUAUGCGCAGUCCAUGCACCAAUCUUGCACCUAAACUAACACUGUCUCCAAACAGAUUGAAGUGAGAUUCCAUAUGACACACAUGAUCUAGGAGUUCUAUCGGGUGCAUCCAAAUUGAUUUCUGAGAAUAUAGUACAUCCCAUGCAAACCGUACACCUAUCUUUCAUCAAGGUUAGCACUAUCUCCAAACAGACCGAACCGAGCUUUCACUUGAGCCUCUUCACCUAGGAGUACCAUCAGGAACUUCCACAACGGUUUCUGAGCCUAUGGUGCACUGGGCACAAACCAUGCAACUAUCUUGCACCGAAACUAAUACUAUCUCCAACGGGACUGAAGCGAGAUUCCAUAUGAUACACUUCAUCUAGUAGUUCCAUCGGGAGCAUCUACAGUUCCAUCGGGUGUGUCCAAAUUGAUUUCUGAGCAUAUGGUAUGUUCCAUGCAAACCGUGCACCUAUCUUGCAUCAAGAUUAGAACUAUCUCCAAACAAACAGAACCAAGAUUCGACAUGAGCCUCUUCAUCAAGGAGUACCAUCGCGUGCGUCCAAAAUAGUUUCUUAGCCUAUGGUGCAUUUGGCACAAACCGUGUACCUAUCUAGCACCAAAACUAACACUAUCUCCAAAGAGACCGAAGUGAGAUUCUAUAUGACACACAUCAUCUAGGAGUUCUAUUUGGUGCUUCCAAAUAUAUUUCUAAGCAUAUGGUACGUUCGAUGCAAUUCGUGCACCUAUCUUGCAUCAAGAUUAGCACUAUCUCCAAACAAAGCAAAGUGAGCUUCCACUUGAGCCCCUUUACCCAGGACUAUCAUCGAGUGCAUCCAAAAUGGUUUCUUAGCCUAUGAUGCAUUAGGCGCAAACUGUGUACCUAUCUUGCACCAUACCUACCUCUGUCUCGAAAUAGACCAAAGCAAGAUUCUAUAUGACACUUGUCAUCUAGAAGUUCUAUUAGGGUGCGUCCAAAUGGAUUUCUUAGCAUAUGGUAUGUUCCAUGGAAACCAUGCACCUAUCUUGCAUCAAGAUUAGCACUAUCUCCAAAUAGAUCGAACCAAACUUCCACUUGAGCCUCUUCACCUAGGAUUAUCAUCGGGUGCUUCCAUAAUGGUUUCUGAGCCUAUGGUGUAUUAAGCGCAAACCAUGCACCAAUCUUGCACCUAAACUAACACUGUCUCCAAACAGAUUGAAGCGCGAUUCCAUAUGACACACAUGAUCUAGGAGUUCUAUCGGGUGCGUCCAAAUUGAUUUAUGAGAAUAUGGUAUGUUCCACGCAAACCGUACACCUAUCUUUCAUCAAGAUUAGCACUAUCUCUAAACAGACCGAACCGAGCUUUCACUUGAGCCUCUUCACCUAGGAGUACCAUCGGGAACUUCCACAACGAUUUCUGAGCCUAUGGUGCACUAGGCACAAACCAUGCAACUAUCUUGCACCGAAACUAAUACUAUCUCCAACUGGACUGAAGCGAGAUUCCAUAUGAUACACUUCAUUUAGUAGUUCCAUCGGGUGCAUCUACAGUUCCAUCGGGUGUGUCCAAAUUGAUUUCUGAGCAUAUGGUAUGUUCCAUGCAAACCGUGCACCUAUCUUGCAUCAAGAUUGGAACUAUCUUCAAACAGACAGAACCAAGGUUCCACAUGAGCCUCUUCACCAAGGAGUACCAUCGCGUGCGUCAAAAAUAGUUUCUUAGCCUAUGGUGCAUUUGGCACAAACCGUGUACCUAUCUUGCACCGAAACUAACACUAUCUCCAAAGAGACUGAAGUGAGAUUCCAUAUGACACACAUCAUCUAGGAGUUCUAUUUGGUGCUUCCAAAUAUAUUUCUAAGCAUAUGGUACGUUCGAUGCAAUUCGUGCACCUAUCUUGCAUCAAGAUUAGCACUAUCUCCAAACAAAGCAAACUGAGCUUCCACUUGAGCCCCUUUACCCAGGAGUAUCAUCGAGUGCAUCCAAAAUGGUUUCUUAGCCUAUGAUGCAUUAGGCGCAAACUGUGUACCUAUCUUGCACCAAAACUAACUCUGUCUCCAAAUAGACCAAAGCAAGAUUCCAUAUGACACAUGUCAUCUAGGAGUUCUAUUGGGAUGCAUCCAAAUGGAUUUCUUAGCAUAUGGUAUGUUCUAUGAAAACUGUGCACCUAUCUUGCAUCAAGAUUAGCACUAUCUCCAAAUAGAUCGAACCGACCUUCCACUUGAGCCUCUUCACCUAGGAGUACUAUCGGGUGCUUCCACAAUGGUUUCUGAGCCUAUGGUGCAUUAUGCGCAAACCAUGCACCAAUCUUGCACCUAAACUGUAUCCAAACAGAUUGAAGCGAGAUUUCAAAUGACACACAUGAUCUAGGAGUUCUAUCGGGUGCCUCCAAAUUGAUUUCUGAGAAUACGGUACGUUCCAUGCAAACCGUACACCUGUCUCGCAUCAAGAUUAGCACUAUCUCCAAACAGACCGAACCAAGCUUUCGCUUGAGCCUCUUCACCUAGGAGUACCAUCGAGAACUUUCACAACGGUUUCUGAGCCUAUGGUGCACUGGGCACAAACCAUACACCUAUCUUGCACCAAAACUAAUACUAUCUCUAGCUGGGCCGAAGCGAGAUUCCAUAUGAUACACUUCAUCUAGUAGUUCCAUCGGGUGCAUCUACAUUUCCAUCGGGUGUGUCCAAAUUGAUUUCUGAGCAUAUGGUAUGUUCCAUGCAAACCUUGCACCUAUCUUGCAUCAAGAUUAGAACUAUCUACAAACAGACAACCAAGAUUCCACAUGAGCCUCUUCACCAAGGAGUACCAACGCGUGUGUCCAAAAUAGUUUCUUAGCCUAUGGUGCAUUAGGCACAAACCGUGUACCUAUUUUGCACCAAAACUAACACUCCCUCCAAAGAGACCGAAGUGAGAUUCUAUACUAACACUAUUUCUAAGCAUAUGGUACGUUAGAUUUUAUAUGACACACGUCAUCUAGGAGUUCUAUUGGGUGCUUCCAAAUAUAUUUCUAAGCAUAUGGUACGUUCGAUGCAAUUUGUGCACCUAUCUUGCAUCUAGAUUAGCACUAUCUCCAAACAAAGCAAACUGAGCUUCCACUUGAGCCCCUUUACCCAGGAGUAUCAUCGGGUGCAUCCAAAAUUGUUUCUUAGCCUAUGAUGCAUUAGGAGCAAACUGUGUACCUAUCCUGCACCAAAACUACCUCUGUCUCCAAACAGACCUAAGCGAGAUUCUAUAUGACACAUGUCAUCUAGGAGUUCUAUUGCGGUGCGUCCAAAUGGAUUUCUUAGCAUAUGGUAUGUUCCAUGCAAACCGUGCACCUAUCUUGCAUCAAGAUUAGCACUAUCUCCAAACAGAUCGAACCGACCUUCCACUUGAGCCUCUUCACCUAGAAUUAUCAUCGGGUGCUUCCAUAACGGUUUCUGAGCCUAUGGUGCAUUAUGCGCAAACGAUGCACCAAUCUUCCACCUAAACAAACAAUCUCUCCAAACAGAUUGAAGCGAGAUUCCAAAUGACAAACAUGAUCUAGGAGUUCUAUCAGGUGCGUCCAAAUUGAUUUAUGAGAAUAUGGUACGUUCCAUGCAAACCAUACACCUAUCUUUCAUCAAGAUUAGCACUAUCUCCAAACAGACCGAACCGAGCUUUCACUUGAGCCUCUUCACCUAGGAGUACCAUCGGGAACUUCCACAAUGAUUUCUAAGCCUAUGGUGCAUUGGGCACAAACCAUGCAACUAUCUUGCACCAAAACUAAUACUAUCUCCAACUGGACUGAAGCGAGAUUCCAUAUGAUACACUUCAUCUAGUAGUUCCAUCGAGUGCAUCUACAGUUCCAUCGGGUGUGUCCAAAUUGAUUUCUGAGCAUAUGGUAUGUUCCAUGCAAACCGUGCACCUAUCUUGCAUCAAGAUUGGAACUAUCUCCAAACAGACAGAACCAAGACUCCACAUGAGCCUCUUCACCAAGGAGUACCAUCCCAUGCGUCCAAAAUAGUUUCUUAGCCUAUGGUGUAUUAGGCACAAACCGUGUACCUAUCUUGCACCGAAACUAACACUAUCUCCAAAGAGACCGAAGUGGGAUUCUAUAUGACACACGUCAUCUAGGAGUUCUAUUGGGUGCUUCCAAAUAUAUUUUAAGCAUAUGGUACGUUCGAUGCAAUUCGUUCACCUAUCUUGCAUCAAGAUUAGCACUAUUUCCAAACAAAGCAAACUGAGCUUCCACUUGAGCCCCUUUACCCAGGAGUAUCAUCGGGUGCAUCCAAAAUGGUUUCUUAGCCUAUGAUGCAUUAGGCGCAAACUGUGUACCUAUCUUGCACCAAAACUAACUCUGUCUCCAAAUAGAGCAAAGCUAGAAUCCAUAUGACACAUGUCAUCUAGGAGUUCUAUUAGGUGCGUCCAAAUAGAUUUCUUAGCAUAUGGUAUGUUCCAUGAAAACCGGAAACCUAUCUUUCAUCAAGAUUAGAGCUAUCUCCAAACAGAUCGAACCGACCUUCCACUUGAGCCUCUUCACCUAGGAGUACUAUCGGGUGCUUCCAUAAUGGUUUCUGAGCCUAUGGUGCAUUAUGCGCAAACCAUACACCAAUCUUGCACCUAAACUGUCUCCAAAUAGAUUGAAGCGAGAUUCCAUAUGACACACAUGAUCUAGGAGUUCUAUUUGAGCCCCUUUACCCAGGAGUAUCAUCGGGUGCAUCCAAAAUGGUUUCUUAGCCUAUGAUGCAUUAGGCGCAAACUGUGUACCUAUCUUGCACCAAAACUAACUCUGUCUCCAAAUAGAGCAAAGCGAGAAUCCAUAUGACACAUGUCAUCUAGGAGUUCUAUUGCGAUGCAUCCAAAUAGAUUUCUUAGCAUAUGAUAUGUUCCAUGAAAACCGUGCACCUAUCUUUCAUCAAGAUUAGCACUAUCUCCAAACAGAUCGAACCGACCUUCCACUUGAGCCUCUUCACCUAGGAGUACUAUCGGGUGCUUCCAUAAUGGUUUCUGAGCCUAUGGUGCAUUAUGCUCAAACCAUGCACCAAUCUUGCACCUAAACUGUCUCCAAACAGAUUGAAGCGAGAUUCCAUCUGACACACAUGAUCUAGGAGUUCUAUUGGGUGCCUCCAAAUUGAUUUCUGAGAAUACGGUACGUUCCAUGCAAACCGUACACCUAUCUUUCAUCAAGAUUAGCACUAUCUCCAAACAGACAGAACCGAGCUUUCGCUUGAUCCUCUUCACCUAGGAGUACCAUAGGGAACUUCCACAACGAUUUCUGAGCCUAUGGUGCACUGGGCACAAACCAUGCACCAAUCUUGCACCUAAACUGUCUCCAAACAGAUUGAAGCGCGAUUCCAUAUGACACACAUGAUCUAGGAGUUCUAUCGGGUGCGUCCAAAUUGAUUUAUGAGAAUAUGGUAUGUUCCAUGCAAACCGUACACCUAUCUUUCAUCAAGAUUAGCACUAUCUCUAAACAGACCGAACCGGGCUUUCACUUGAGCCUCUUCACCUAGGAGUACCAUCGGGAACUUCCACAACGAUUUCUGAGCCUAUGGUGCACUAGGCACAAACCAUGCAACUAUCUUGCACCGAAACUAAUACUAUCUCCAACUGGACUGAAGCGAGAUUCCAUAUGAUACACUUCAUUUAGUAGUUCCAUCGGGUGCAUCUACAGUUCCAUCGGGUGUGUCCAAAUUGAUUUCUGAGCAUAUGGUAUGUUCCAUGCAAACCGUGCACCUAUCUUGCAUCACGAUUGGAACUAUCUUCAAACAGACAGAACCAAGGUUCCACAUGAGCCUCUUCACCAAGGAGUACCAUCGCGUGCGUCAAAAAUAGUUUCUUAGCCUAUGGUGCAUUUGGCACAAACCGUGUACCUAUCUUGCACCGAAACUAACACUAUCUCCAAAGAGACUGAAGUGAGAUUCCAUAUGACACACAUCAUCUAGGAGUUCUAUUUGGUGCUUCCAAAUAUAUUUCUAAGCAUAUGGUACGUUCGAUGCAAUUCGUGCACCUAUCUUGCAUCAAGAUUAGCACUAUCUCCAAACAAAGCAAACUGAGCUUCCACUUGAGCCCCUUUACCCAGGAGUAUCAUCGAGUGCAUCCAAAAUGGUUUCUUAGCCUAUGAUGCAUUAGGCGCAAACUGUGUACCUAUCUUGCACCAAAACUAACUCUGUCUCCAAAUAGACCAAAGCGAGAUUCCAUAUGACACAUGUCAUCUAGGAGUUCUAUUGGGAUGCAUCCAAAUGGAUUUCUUAGCAUAUGGUAUGUUCUAUGAAAACUGUGCACCUAUCUUGCAUCAAGAUUAGCACUAUCUCCAAACAGAUCGAAACGACCUUCCACUUGAGCCUCUUCACCUAGAAUUAUCAUCGGGUGCUUCCAUAACGGUUUCUGAGCCUAUGGUGCAUUAUACGCAAACGAUGCACCAAUCUUCCACCUAAACAAACAAUCUCUCCAAACAGAUUGAAGCGAGAUUCCAAAUGACAAACAUGAUCUAGGAGUUCUAUCAGGUGCGUCCAAAUUGAUUUAUGAGAAUAUGGUACGUUCCAUGCAAACCAUACACCUAUCUUUCAUCAAGAUUAGCACUAUCUCCAAACAGACCGAACCGAGCUUUCACUUGAGCCUCUUCACCUAGGAGUACCAUCGGGAACUUCCACAAUGAUUUCUAAGCCUAUGGUGCAUUGGGCACAAACCAUGCAACUAUCUUGCACCAAAACUAAUACUAUCUCCAACUGGACUGAAGCGAGAUUCCAUAUGAUACACUUCAUCUAGUAGUUCCAUCGAGUGCAUCUACAGUUCCAUCGGGUGUGUCCAAAUUGAUUUCUGAGCAUAUGGUAUGUUCCAUGCAAACCGUGCACCUAUCUUGCAUCAAGAUUGGAACUAUCUCCAAACAGACAGAACCAAGACUCCACAUGAGCCUCUUCACCAAGGAGUACCAUCCCGUGCGUCCAAAAUAGUUUCUUAGCCUAUGGUGUAUUAGGCACAAACCGUGUACCUAUCUUGCACCGAAACUAACACUAUCUCCAAAGAGACCGAAGUGGGAUUCUAUAUGACACACGUCAUCUAGGAGUUCUAUUGGGUGCUUCCAAAUAUAUUUCUAAGCAUAUGGUACGUUCGAUGCAAUUCGUUCACCUAUCUUGCAUCAAGAUUAGCACUAUUUCCAAACAAAGCAAACUGAGCUUCCACUUGAGCCCCUUUAUCCAGGAGUAUCAUCGGGUGCAUCCAAAAUGGUUUCUUAGCCUAUGAUGCAUUAGGCGCAAACUGUGUACCUAUCUUGCACCAAAACUAACUCUGUCUCCAAAUAGAGCAAAGCGAGAAUCCAUAUGACACAUGUCAUCUAGGAGUUCUAUUGGGGUGCGUCUAAAAGGAUUUCUUAGCAUAUGGUAUGUUCCAUGCAAACUGUGCACCUAUCUUGCAUCAAGAUUAGCACUAUCUCCAAACAGAUCGAACCGACCUUCCACUUGAGCCUCUUCACCUAGGAUUAUCAUCAGGUGCUUCCAUAAUGGUUUCUGAGCCUAUGGUGCAUUAUGCGCAAACCAUGUACCAAUCUUGCACCUAAACUAACACUGUCUCCAAACAGAUUGAAGCGAGAUUCCAAAUGAGACACAUGAUCUAGGAGUUCUAUCGGGUGCGUCCAAAUUGAUUUAUGAGAAUACGGUACGUUCCAUGCAAACCGUACACCUAUCUCUCAUCAAGAUUAGCACUAUCUCCAAACAGACCGAACCGAGCUUUCACUUGAGCCUCUUCACCUAGGAGUACUAUCGGGAACUUCCACAAUGAUUUCUGAGCCUAUGGUGCACUGGGCACAAACCAUGCAACUAUCUUGCACCGAAACUAAUACUAUCUCCAACUGGACUGAAGCGAGAUUCCAUAUGAUACACUUCAUCUAGUAGUUCCAUCGGGUGCAUCUACAGUUCCAUCGGGUGUGUCCAAAUUGAUUUCUGAGCAUAUGGUAUGUUCCAUGCAAACCGUGCACCUAUCUUGCAUCAAGAUUAGAACUAUCUCCAAACAGACAGAACCAAGAUUUCACAUGAGCCUCUUCACCAAGGAUUACCAUCGCGUGCGUCCAAAAUAGUUUCUUAGCCUAUGGUGCAUUAGGUUGAAACUGUGUACCUAUCUUGCACUGAAACUAACACUAUCUCGAAAGAGACCAAAUUGAGAUUCUAUAUGACACACGUCAUCUAGGAGUUCUAUUGGGUGCUUCCAAAUAUAUAUUUCUAAGCAUAUGGUACGUUCGAUGCAAUUCGUGCACCUAUCUUGCAUUUAGAUUAAGACUAUCUCCAAACAAAGCAAACUGAGCUUCCACUUGAGCCCCUUUACCUAGGAGUAUCAUCAAGUGCAUCCAAAAUGGUUUCUUAGCCUAUGAUGCUUUAGGCGCAAACUGUGUACCUAUCUUCUACCAAAACUACCUUUGUCUCCAAACAGACCAAAGCGAGAUUCUAUAUGACACUUGUCAUCUAGGGGUUCUAUUGGGGUGUGUCCAAAUAGAUUUCUUAGCAUAUGGUAUGUUCCAUGCAAACCGUGCACCUAUUUUGCAUCAAGAUUACCACUAUCUCCAAAUAGAUCGAACCUUCCUUCCACUUGAGCCUCUUCACCUAGGAUUAUCAUCAGGUGCUUCCAUAAUGGUUUCUGAGCCUAUGGUGCGUUAUGCACAAACCAUGCACCAAUCUUGCACCUAAACUAACACGGUCUCCAAACAAAUUGAAGCGAGAUUCCAUAUGACACACAUGAUCUAGGAGUUCUAUCGAGUGCGUCCAAAUUGAUUUCUGAGAAUAUGGUACGUUCCAUGCAAACCGUACACCUAUCAUUCAUCAAGAUUAGCACUAUCACCAGACAUACCAAACCGAGCUUUCACUUGAGCCUCUUCACCUAGGAGUACCAUCAGGAACUUCCACAACGAUUUCUGUGCCUAUGGUGCACUGGGCACAAACCAUGCAACUAUCUUGCACCGAAACUAAUACUAUCUCGAACUAGACCGAAGCGAGAUUCCAUAUAGUACACUUCAUCUAGUAGUUCCAUCGGGUGCAUCUACAGUUCCAUCAGGUGUGUCCAAAUUGAUUUCUGAGCAUAUGGUAUGUUCCAUGCAAACCGUGCACCUAUCUUGCAUCAAGAUUAUAACUAUCUCUAAACAGACAGAACCAAGAUUCCACAUGAGCCUCUUCACCAAGGAGUACCAUCGCGUGCGUCCAAAAUAGUUUCUUAGCCUAUGGUGCAUUAGGCACAAACCAUGUACCUAUCUUGCACUGAAACUAACACUAUCUCCAAAGAGACCGAAGUGAGAUUCUAUAUGACACACGUCAUCUAGGAGUUCUAUUGGGUGCUUCCAAAUAUAUUUCGAAGCUUAUGGUACGUUCGAUGCAAUUCGUGCACCUUUCUUACAUCAAGAUUAGCACUAUCUCCAAACAAAGCAAACUGAGCUUCCACUUGAGCCCCUUUACCCAGGAGUAUCAUCGGGUGCAUCCAAAAUGGUUUCUUAGCCUAUGAUGCAUUUCGCGCAAACUGUGUACCUAUCUUGCACCAAAACUAACUCUGUCUCCAAACAGACCAAAGAGAGAUUCUAUAUGACAUAUGUCAUCUAGGACUUCUAUUGGGGUGCGUCCAAAUAGAUUUCUUAGCAUAUGGUAUGUUCCAUGCAAACCGUGCACCUAUCUUGCAUCAGGAUUAGAACUAUCUCCAAACAGAUCGAACCGACCUUCCACUUGAGCCUCUUCACCUAGGAUUAUCAUCGGGUGCUUCCAUAAUGGUUUCUGAGCCUAUGGUGCAUUAUGCACAAACCAUGCACCAAUCUUGCACCUAAAGUAACACUGUCUCCAAACAAAUUGAAGCGAGAUUCCAUAUGACACACAUGAUCUAGGAGUUCUAUCGGGUUCGUCCAAAUUGAUUUCUGAGAACAUGGUACGUUCCAUGCAAACCUUACAACUAUCUUUCAUCAAGAUUAGCACUAUCUCCAAACAUACCAAACCGAGCUUUCACUUGAGCCUCUUCACCUAGGAGUACCAUCGGGAACUUCCACAAUGAUUUCUGAGCCUAUGGUGCACUGGGCACAAACCAUGCAACUAUCUUGCACCGAAACUAAUACUAUCUCCAACUAGACCGAAGCGAGAUUCCAUAUGAUACACUUCAUCUAGUAGUUCCAUCGGGUGCAUCUACAGUUCCAUUGGGUCUGUCCAAAUUGAUUUCUGAGCAUAUGGUAUGUUCCAUGCAAACCGUGCACCUAACUUGCAUCAAGAUUAGAACUAUCUACAAACAGACAGAACCAAGAUUCCACAUGAGCCUCUUCACCAAGGAGUACCAUCGCGUGCGUCCAAAAUAGUUUCUUAGCCUAUGGUGCAUUAGGCACAAACCGUGUAACUAUCUUGCACCGAAACUAACACUAUCUCCAAAGAGACCGAAGUGAGAUUCUAUAUGACACACAUCAUCUAGGAGUUCUAUUUGGGGCUUCCAAAUAUAUUUCUAAGCAUAUGGUACGUUCGAUGCAAUUCGUGCACCUAUCUUGCAUCAAGAUUAGCACUAUCUCCAAACAAAGCAAACUAAGCUUCCACUUGAGCCCCUUUACCUAGGAGUAUUAACGGGUGCAUCCAAAAUGUUUCUUAGCCUAUGAUGCAUUAGGCGCAAACUGUGUACCUAUCUUGCACCAAAACUAACUCUGUCUCCAAACAGACCAAAGCGAGAUUCUAUAUGACACAUGUCAUCUAGGAGUUCUAUUGGGGUGCGUCCAAAUAGAUUUCUUAGCAUAUGGUAUGUUCCAUGCAAACCGUGCACCUAUUUUGCAUCAAGAUUAGCACUAUCUCCAAGUAGAUCGAACCGACCUUCCACUUGAGCCUCUUCACCAAGGAUUAUCAUCGGGUGCUUCCAUAAUGGUUUCUAAGCCUAUAGUGCAUUAUGCACAAUCCAUGCACCAAUCUUGCACCUAAACUAACACUGUCUCCAAACAAAUUGAAGCGAGAUUCCUUAUGACACACAUGAUCUAGGAGUUCUAUCGGGUGCGUCCAAAUUGAUUUCUGAGAAUAUGGUACGUUCCAUUCAAACCGUACACCUAUCUAUCAUCAAGAUUAGCACUAUCUCCAAACAUACCAAACCGAGCUUUCACUUGAGCCUCUUCACCUAGGAGUACCAUCGGGAACUUCCACAACGAUUUUUGAGCCUAUGGUGCACUGGGCACAAACCAUGCAACUAUCUUGCAUCGAAACUAAUACUAUCUCCAACUGGAUCGAAGCGAGAUUCCAUAUGAUACACUUCAUCUAGUAGUUCCAUCGGGUGCAUCUACAGUUCCAUCGGGUUUGUCCAAAUUGAUUUCUAAGCAUAUGGUAUGUUCCAUGCAAACCGUGCACCUAUCUUGCAUCAAGAUUAGAACUAUCUCCAAACAGACAGAACCAAGAUUCCACUUGAGCCUCUUCACCAAGGAGUACCAUCAUGUGCGUCCAAAAUAGUUUCUUAGCCUAUAGUGCAUUAGGCACAAACCGUGUACCUAUCUGGCACCGAAACUAGCACUAUCUCCGAAGAGACCGAAGUGAGAUUCUAUAUGACACACGUCAUCUAGGAGUUCUCUUUGAAGCAAAUGGUGCGUUCCAUGCAAUUUGUGUACCUAUCUUACAUCAAGAUUAGCACUAUGUCCAAACAAAAGCAAACUGAGCUUCCACUUGAGCCCCUUUACCUUGGAGUAUCAUCGGGUGCAUCCAAAAUGGUUUCUUAGCCUAUGAUGCAUUAGGCGCAAACUGUGUACCUAUCUUGCACCAAAACUAACUCUGUCUCCAAACAGACCGAAGCGAGAUUCCAUAUGACACAUGUCAUCUAGGAGUUCUAUUGGGGUGCGUCCAAAUGGAUUUCUUAGCAUAUGGUAUGUUCCAUGCAAACCGUGCACCUAUCUUGCUUCAAUAUUAGCACUAUCUCCAAACAGAUCGAACCGACCGUCCACUUGAGCCUCUUCACAUAGGAUUAUCAUCGGGUGCUUCCAUAAUGAUUUCUGGGCCUAUGGUGCAUUAUGCGCAAACCAUGCACCAAUCUUGCACCUAAACUAACACUGUCUCCAAACAGAUUGAAGCGAGAUUCCAUAUGACACACAUGAUCUAGGAGUUCUAUCGGUUGCGUACAGAUUGAUUUCUAAGAAUAUGGUACGUUCCAUGCAAACCAUACACCUAUCUUUCAUCAAGAUUAGCACUAUCUCCAAACAGACCGAACCGAGCUUUCACUUGAGCCUCUUCACCUAGUAGUACCAUCUGGAACUUCCACAACGGUUUCUGAGCCUAUGGUGCACUGGGAACGAACCAUGCACCUAUCUUGCACCGAAUCUAAUACUAUCUCCAACUGGACUAAAGCGAGAUUCCAUAUGAUACACUUCAUCUAGUAGUUCCAUUGGGUGCAUCUACAGUACCAUCGGGUGUGUCCAAAUUGAUUUCUCAGCAUAUGGUAUGUUCCAUGCAAACCGUGCACCUAUCUUGCAUCAAGAUUAGAACUAUCUCCAAACAGGCAGAACCAAGAUUCCAUAAUGGUAUCCGAGCCUAUGGUGCACAAACCAUGCACCAAUUCUUGCACCUAAACUAACACUGUCUCCAAAUAGAUUGAAGCAAGAUUCUAUAUGACACACAUGAUCUAGGAGUUCUAUCGGGUGCGUCCAAAUUGAUUUCUGAGAAUAUGGUAUGUUCCAUGCAAACCGUACACCUAUCUUGCAUCAGGAUUAGCACUAUCUCCAAAUAGAUCGAACCGACCUACCACUUGAGCCUCUUCACCUAGGAUUAUCUUCGGGUGCUUGCAUAAUGGUUUCUGAGCCUAUGGUGCAUUAUGCGCAAACCAUGCACCAAUCUUGCACCUAAACUAACACUGUCUCCAAACAGAUUGAAGCGAGAUUCCUUAUGUGUCGGUGUUUUCCCCACGGGGGGUCACACCAACGAGUAAAUUUGUGUGCGGGUUCCCUUUUCCAGAUGGUGAUGCAAGAAGACACAAAGAUUUAUACUGGUUCGGGCAAGAGAAGGCCCUACGUCCAGCGGGGGGGAGAGUUUGUAUUAUCUUGCACCUAAGUGCUCGUACAGGGAUGAAUACAAGCGUGGUAUGGAAUGAGAUGGAGUAUGGAAGUUCUACUGUGUAUGGAUGUAGUGUUGCGUGAUGUCUUGUGUCGUGUUCGCUCCCGGGCCUCCCCUUUUAUAGUUCCAAGGAGAAGCCUAGGGUACAAGUAUAGGCGUCAGAGUAGGGGUCGGUAGAGGUAUGGCGUACGGACCUACUCGAGGCCUCCGUACCGGCGUGGUCUCGAGCCGUCCUGUCCCGGUAGCUUGAUGAUGAUUACGCGUGCCCCUGUAUCCUGCUCCGUACGCCGUUGUGGACUGGUUUAUCAGUCGCACGCCUGUACGUCAUGGCGGCAGAUACGCCGGAGUUGCUGCAACGUUGUCAUUCGACGCCCAACCCUUCCCCAGGAAGGAAACAUGUCUGGUCGAGGGCCGGACGCCGUGCAACGCCUUGCUAUCCAGAGCGUUGACCUUGAAUGCCUCGAGAGGGUCUUGAUUAGACGUUCCAACCCUGCUUCCCGCGUCCUGACAUACUCUGGAUUGUUUGGUGGGGAAGGCUGCAAAAAGAAUGACGGGACAGGUGCCUGUUCCCUAUCAUGCUUUCCGUGACAGGCGUGUUAGGUGGGAAAGCGACAAGCGUAUUAAAUGCCCUGGCUCCCGUGCGCGCGUCAGGCGGCGGGCGGCGUCCUUGCGCUCGACGCCUCCUGAUUCGCUCGAGCCUAUUUCCGUAUUCGACGGUAGUUGGCGCUCGAGCCCUGAUCGAUUCGCUCGACGCCCUUUCCGUCUUCGAGGCCGCGGUCAUCGAUGACUGUAAGUGUGACUGAUUGGGUAGAGCGUCGAGUCAGGGGCCUCGACUUGCGUACGGGCAAUCUUAUUAUGUGCACCAGUUAGGAUACCCCUUACUGAUACCGUCGACAGUAGCCCCCGAGUCUCCAUUUGAGCGUUGGCGCUCGAGUGGAGGUUGUAUUUUCAUGGUUGAGUUUCCGUGGGGGUGCCCGAGCGACCCCGCGGGGGUAGCUCCUGAGCCCUUGGAGGAGUUUUUGACUCCUUCGAGGGUUAUAUUGCCUAAUUUGUAGAAACGCUGUCAACACCAGUGGUGGAAGGUUCUGAUUGGCUCAUUUUGUGCGGAGGUUUCGACGCACUCUCGAUAGAGCGAGCGUCAUCCACCCCAGAUUGAGCUCCUAACGGGUAGUCCAAGUGAGAACCUGUGCCCCUUUCGAGGGGGUUAGCUGUAGCCUGGAGGCGUUCUCAUAAAGCGGGGUCGACAUGGUCGGGGAUGCUGGUCUCGUUCGAUAGAGUCCAGUGGCUCGAUGCAUCCCAUCGGGGGGAUUCCUCUCGACUGUCUCGACCCUACCUCGGACAUCCCAGCGAGUUCUCGAGGCGGGCCUCAAUUUUUGACCACUCGCCGGGGAUCCCUGACUCUGGUGCUCGAGAUCGGGCGUCGAACCCUUUCGGCGGGUCAGCCUGCGACCUCUCGAGGCUUUCGUGGGUGCAUUCCUUGGCUUACAAGGGAAGGAAGAGGCCGUGGCGGUUCGCCUUUUUGCCCGUUGGGCACGCCUUUUCAGGCGGGAGCCGUUGCAACACUGUACCGGCGCAGAAUUCGGAGCGCCCCGUCUGUGAGGAGGAAGAAAGACCGUUAGGCAGCGCAUUUAAGGGGGGAGUUACCUCAUUCAUCGGAUCUGUCCGUUGGUGGGUUGCUGCCUAUAAAUAUCCCGUGGCAUCGCCGCCGUUCUCCCUUCCGCCUUCUGUCUUCAUUCUUGCCGUAGCCCUCUCGCCGUCUUAGCUCUCUUGCCAUCUUACACGCGCGCGCCCCCUCGAGUAGUAGCGAAUCCGCCCUCCUUCCGUCCAAGAUGCCUGUGAGACUCGUCACCGACGACAACUGGCGCCCGUCGUCGAUGACGGAACGCCGGUUGCUGGAGCUUGAGAGGGAGGGACUCCUGCGACACCGCACAUCGCUGUCGUCGCUGGAGUGGAUCGUGCCGCCAGCGGACCAUAGGGAGCCCAAGCCACCUAAGGGCUACGUGGUUUCGUUUGCCAAGUUCCACCGCCACGGCCUGGGCGCUCCUCCGAGCCGCUUCAUGCGGGCGCUCUGCCACCAUUACGGGGUGGAGCUCUAGCACUUCUCCCCAAAUGCCAUCACCGUCGUGGCGGUCUUUGCCGCGGUGUGUGAGGGUUAUUUGGGGAUGAUGCCCCACUGGGAGUUGUGGCUCCACCUCUACAGGGGCGAGCUCUUCAACGCCCCCGCUGGAGCCGCCGGAGUGAGGAAACCCGUGCGGGCCGGGUGCCUGAACCUAGUGCUGAAGACGGGGAAGACGGAGAGGCCACGGGAGUACAUCCCGGUGGGGUUAUCGUCAAACCACGCCGGAUGGGACUCCCAGUGGUUCUAUCUACGAAACGACGACGGUCUCCUCCCUGCCUACACCGGCCGCCUGAUUACGGGGCGCCUGGAGAACUGGACGUAUGACGUCGUCUAGGUCCACCAGUCGCGGCUCGACCCCCUCCUCGACGCCCUGAAGAAGCUACGCUUGGAGGGCCUGUCCGCCGCUCUCGUCCUCUCGGCCGUCCAUCAUCGGAGGGUUCUCCCGCUGAUGUCUCGGUCGCUGAGGAUGGAUGAGAUGGGGCCCAGCGCUUCGUCCUGGGACCUCGAGGCGUGCCGGAUGUCCAACGGGGCUCCGGUGGACGAUGAAGUCGCGGCCCGGGUCAGGGCAGCCGUUGCCGGCGACUUCCAGCCGGAGCACGUCAAUGGCUUCCCCAUGAGGCCCGACGCGGGCUCGGUCGACCUGGUGCGUUCUUUCCUUGUAUACGGCUUCGAUUCUGGAUUUCCCUGUCUUCCUUUUUUAAACUUGUCUUUGCUCUCACAGGGACCAAUUGACGUCCGAUCCUCGAGGCCUCCAGUAAAGGAGGACGAGGUCGACCGUGACAAGCGGCGCUAGUCCGCUGAGAAACAGAAGUCCGCCAAGGACUCAGAGAAGAAAGAGAAGAAGAAAAAGAAUCUCGACCGCCAAUCGCUGGAGGCGCGUCAAGCCAAGUCCAGGCUGAGGGGGGGAGCCUGAAGAAGAAUCCCCCAGUGAGGACGACGGCGGAGACGGCAAUGAUGACAGCGACGACUCUAAGGGGAUGGUGUCUCGCCUCGACCGGAUCCUCGAGGGUCCACCUCGAGGCACCGUCGACGCCCCCCGGACUGGAGCGCCAAAGGAGGGGCCAGGCAGAUCUCACCGCCCCCGCGCCGACACCCCUCCCGCGCCUGCGCCGAGUUGGGCCGUCCCGCACCGCCAACCUCCCCCUGCACCAACGGUGGGUGGCCGGGCUAAGCCCCAGGCGACGGGGCCGUUGACCCGUGGUCGUGCUGUGGCCUCCGACAAGGGAGACACCGGCCGCAGGAGCGCUAGCCCCAGCGCUCGCCAGGCGGGUGAUGCUGGACCAAGGCCUACGCCAGCCCGUGAGGGGCCUGGAGCCUCGACGCGGGGUGGUUCGAGGCCCACCGGUCGAGGUACUAGCAGGCGAGCCGUUCUCCCUGUGGGGUAAGUUCUUCGACGCUGUGAUUCUCAUCCUCCUGUUUCUUUGCGUUUUCUCGUUAUAACGGUCUCCCUUAUGCCCAUUUCUCUUACCUCAGGUUGAAGCGGACGCUUGAGCAGGCCCAGCCUUCAAUGGCGAAAAGGCUCAAGGUGGGAGCGGCUUCCAAGGACUCAGGUUAUAGCUUAUUCCCGUUGUUAUGGGAUAUGUGUUGUUCUUACGUUGACCACCAUAAUGGCCGACCUUUGUUUUGCGUUCUAUACGCUCCUCCGACCCUCAACCACCGACCAGCGCUGAGAGUGCCCCACCCCGUCCUCUGGCGGGUGAGUCUUCCCCGUUGUCGCCAAAACAGGCCGAGGUGCCUCAGCCCCAAGGGCAAGAGGGAGCCCCCGAGCCUCCCCGAUCGGGGGUCGAGGGGGAUCCCAUUACCAUAAGUGAUGGGUCUGGCGGCGACGGGACCUCGAGGGAUGCCCGUUCUAUGGACGAGGAGGCCCAGACUUCUCUCGUCACGAGACGGAUGCCCUAGCCUGCCGGGCUUCGCUCCAUCGAGGAGCAGAAGAAGAAAGAGGAGGAGGAGCGUGAGCAAGAGAUGCGGCGGCAACUGUAGGAGCAGGACCGUCGACAGGAGCUGCAGGAGCUCCAAAAGCAGCAGCAGCAGGGAGGCCAGCCAUCGGAGGAGCCGCUCGAGCCUCCUCCUCACAGUCCGCCCCAACCGGUACUACCGGCGCCGCAAGAGCCCGGGAACCAGGAGGAGGGUCUGCCAGUUUUCGGCCCUCCGACCCCGGCGUGGCUCCGUCCAGGGGCGCCCGCCGCGAUCCCAGCAGAGUCGGGGCGGGUGGACGGCGUGGUGGCGCUCGCCUGCAUGAUGCGCACCCCCGUCGACCCUGAGUCUGAGAUCAGGAGGACGAUCUACAGCAUGGACGGAAUCACCCCGGGAUUCCUCCGGGAGCGUCGGUCGUGGGAGGACCGUAUUCCCGCCGAGGAGGACGAGGCUGGGACGUCGGGCGAAGGCGGAGGCAGCGAAACAGGCACCUGGAAGACGGUGGACGACGACGGGCGGUUCCCCUCCCUCGUCGACUUGUUCCUGCGCCAUGGGGGGUCCCUCGAGACCGUUGAGGAGCUCAUCCACGGCGUCAAGGCGCGGGCCGACCAGGAGAUGGAGAACUGGUGCCCCGAUCGGAUCCGCAUCCGGGCUUCCACCGAUCCGUCUGAGCCCCACAUUUUUCUAGACGAUCGGAAGGAAGUCGAGAAGUGGGAGCACGUCGAGGAGCUCUGCCUCUAGAUGAAGCACACAGUGGGGCUCCUAUCAGACGUUGUAAACAACGGACUCGGGCCGGCCUACUUUGUAAGUCUCCUAGCCUUUUAAUCUUUAUGGAACGUUCAGUUUUGCGUUCUAACUGCCCGGUCACCGGUUCGCAGGACCUAAAAGAGACCUCCCGCAUUAAGUCAAGCUUCAUCCACGCCACGAGAGGCGACUACGAGCAGCUCCCCAUCCUCAAGGACCAACUCCUGGAGUCGCAGGAGAAACUCCUCAAGGCCUAUAAAGAGCUCGUGGCGCUCGAGGAGGAGAAGAAGGAGAGGGAGGCUGCCCUGGUCGAGGCUCAAGAGGCCUCAUGGAAGGCGGUGGAAGAGGCUGUGCUGCUGAGGGAGCGGGCUCUGACGGUCGAGGAGGCUGCGUCCAAAGCCCGAGAGGAGGCCAGUCCUACAAGAACGUCGUUGCUGACCUGGACAAGGAGAAGGGCCUCCUCAAGACUGACCUAGACUCCCUCCGAGAAUCCUUUCAGAGGAUGAAGGUGGAGUAUGUGAACAGCGAGGUCACCAGGAGCGCCAUGGAGGAGGCAAAGAAGAAGGCCCUCGAAGACCUCGAGGCGGAGCGGGUUCGAUCCCGCAGCCUCUCUGACGACGUCGAUCGUCUGAAGAGGGCGCUGCUGGAGAAGGAAGGAGCCAUCACGCAGGCCAGCAAGGCGAUUGAGGAUCUUCACGUCGCCAGCACCGAGCUAGCGCGCUCCAACAGGGAGGUCGAGAGGGCCAACACCAAUUUGGUUAGCGAAAACACGGCUCUGGAGGAGAGCAUCCGCGGUACGUUUUCUAUUAUCGAGUUUCUUUUCUGAGGUGUGUUUGGUGUUAUCUAAUCCACUCAUGUUGAUUCUUGCAGGGCUCAAGGACGAGCCGCUGGCUGCCCAAGUCGAGGCCCGCUCCAUCAACAUCCAGCUUGAGGGGGAGGUCGCCUUGAACGGUCGUCUAAGGACUGCGAUAAGCGACCUCUCGGCCUCCUAGGAGCUCGAGCCUGUUGACGAGUCGAGGGAGGAGGCUCGGGGCGACGCACUCGUCGACCAGCUAUACUUUCUUGGAGAGGGACCAGGUGCGGGACGCCCUCCACGUCGGAGUGAAGCAGGCGAUGGCGGUAGUCUGCUCAGGCUUCUCCUACGACAUGGAGGUGGUGUCCCAUGGCUUCAUCACCGACAUCUCCAAGACUAACGCGGAGAACGAGGAGAGGCUCCACGCCUUGAUCGACGACGCAGAGGUUCCUGGAGAGAGGUUGGCUAAGCUAUUCGAGCCAGAGGUACUUCCUCCUGAGACUAGCUCAGGCGCGGGUGAGGAUGGUGAGGGCCGAGACGCGGACUGAGGCCUGCGAGCCUACUCUGGGUGCCUGGGCCCCUUGUAUAGUACUCUGUUAAUUUGUCUUUAAGUAAUACAAUGUCUUUUAAGUGGUUGUCAAAUGUUUAUCUGUCUUUCCGCUCGAGGCUCCUUUAUUUCCCUUUGCGCCUAUGUUUGUAUUCUUCGUUUGAUCUUUUGUUUAAGGCGAUCUCGGUUGCCUCAAGGGUGAGGAAGCGAGUAGAGUUUCCGUAGCCCGGGGGCGUAGGAAUUCUCAGGCUCGUCGUCUCUCGGCCCUUAAGGGGCUCGAGGUGCCUCUACUACUCGACCAUACGAGAUUACUGAUAGGAAAGAAAGGGUUACUUGGUUUUUUCGACACUUGGGGGGGGUCACCCCCUGCUAGCCCCCGAGGGGGUAUCGACUAUGAUGGGUCAUAGUCGGUACUCCCUUCUAACGUCGAGAUUUCGACUCGUGAAAAAGUAAAUUGCUCAAGGGAAAGACUUUAUUUAUUCAUGCAUUCAUUUACAAAGCUUUGGUACAGAAUGUACAUGGGAACAUAAAGCUUUGAAAUUCUAGGGGUAGAAUCGACGUAGCUGUUCGAUAUACCAUGCGUUGGUGAAGAUCGCCCCCUUUUCGUCCGCGAGCUUGUAUGUUCCCGGCUUCAAGACCUUGGCCACUACGUAUGGGCCCUCCCAAGGUGGAGUCAGCUUGUGGAGUCCUUGAUUGCUUUGCCGCCGUCGUAGGACGAGGUCGCCCACGUUCAAGUCCCUCUUGCGCACGUGCUUGUCGUGGUAGCGUCGAAGUUUCUACUAGUAUCUGGCAGAGUUGAGGAGGGCCAUGUCUCGAGCUUCCUCGAGUUGGUCGACUGCGUUUUCUUGAGUCUCUUUAUUUGAUUGCUCAUUGUAUGCUUUGAGUCGAGGGGAUCCAUACUCGAGGUCCGUUGGGAGCACAGCCUCAGAGCCAUAGACCAUGAAGAAUGGGGUGUAUUUUGUGGCCCUGCUUGGCGUUGUCUUUAAGCUCCAUAGGACCGAGGAAAGUUCCUCGACCCAUUUCUUGCCGAAUUUCUUCAAGCGAUUGUAGAUCCUUGGUUUGAGCCCUUGCAAAAUAAUGCUGUUGGCACGCUCGACCUGGCCGUUAGUUUGAGGGUGGGCCACUGCAGACCAGUUCACACAGAUGUGAUGCUGAACGCAGAAGUCCAAGAACUUCUUGCCGGUGAACUGAGUGCCGUUGUCAGUGAUGAUGACGUUGGGAAUCCCAAACCGGUAGAUGAUGUCGGUGAAGAAAAGGACGGCCUGCUCGGAGCAGAUGUUGGUGAUGGGUCGAGCCUCUAUCCAUUUGGAGAAUUUGUCGAUGGCCACCAAUAAGUGGGUGUACCCCCCUUUUGCCUUUUGUAGGGGCCCUACUAAGUCGAGCCCCCAUACCGCAAACGACCAUGUGAUAGGGAUCAUCUGGAGAGCGUGGGCGGGCAGGUGCAUCUGUUUCGCGUAGAAUUGGCACCCAUGGCAUGAGCGCACGAGCUCGACGGCAUCAGCUACGGCCGUUGGCCAGUAGAAGCCUUGUCGGAAGGCGUUCCCUACGAGGGUCCGUGGAGCAGCAUGGUGGCCACAAGCCCCCGAGUGUAGAUCCUCGUGGAGUUUUUGGCCUUCCUCUACGGUGAUGCAACGCUGCAAGACACCCGUCGGGCUUCGUCGAUAUAGCUCUUUGUCCUCGCCAUAGAUUACAUAUGACUUGGCCUGUCGAGCAAUACGGCGGGCUUCGGAUCGGUCUUUUGGUAGCUCGCAGCGGAUCAGGCAGUCGAGGAACGGCGUGCACCAAUCAAACGGUCGACUGGGCCGCUGAUCCAUCUCCAUUACCUCAGCUGCUAUUAGUAGUGCUUCGAUGGUAUCGGUUUGCUGGGCGGGAGCGGUUUCGACACUAGCCCCCGAGCCCAAGUCGACGGAUGGCUCAUGUAGAUCUCUCGAGAACGCGUCGGGUGGCACCGUGCCUCGAGUCGACGUGAUCUUGGCGAGUUCGUCGGCCGCCUCGUUGUAGCGUCGGGCGACGUGCGUGAGUUCGAGGCCAUGGAACUUGUCCUCGAGUCGACGGACCUCCUUGCAGUACGCCUCCAUUUUCGGGUCGUGGCAGUUCGAGGCUUUCAUUACUUGGUCGAUGGCGAGCUGGGAGUCGCCUCGAACGUUGAGGCGUCGAACUCCAAGCUCGAUGGCGAUCUUCAGACCGUUGACAAGGGCCUCGUACUCUGCAACAUUGUUGGACGCGGCAAAAUGUAUCCUGAUGACGUACCUCAUAUGAAUGCCCAGGGGCGAGAUGAACAGCAGGCCCGCCGCAGCUCCCGUCUUCAUGAGAGACCCGUCGAAAUACAUCGUCCACAAUUCUGCUUGAACUUGAGCCGGGGGGAGCUGGGAGUCAGUCCACUCCACGAUGAAAUCUACCAGGGCUUGUGAUUUGAUAGCUUUUCGGGGCGCGUAAGUGAGGGUCUCGCUCAUGAGCUCGACCGACCACUUUGGGAUUCUUCCCGUGGCCUCCCGACUCUGGAUGAUCUCUCCCAAGGGGAAGGAUGAGACCACCGUGAUAGGGUGGCCGAGGAAGUAGUGCUGCAGCUUGCGUCGGGCGAGGAUUACGGCGUAGAUUAGCUUCUGGAUCUGUGGGUAACGCACCUUGGUCUCCGAGAGCACCUCACUGACGAAAUAGACUGGCCUCUGGACUGGCAAUGCAUGACCCUCCUCCUGCCUCUCGACCACCACAGCUGCACUGACGACCUGGGUCGUCGAGGCAACGUAAAGGAGCAGCGGUUCUGCAGCUUGAGGUGGGACCAGGACUGGUGCUGAGGUCAGCGUUUUCUUCAGGUUUUCAGGGCUUCCUCGGACUCGGGGGUCCAAGAGAAACGCUCGACUUUCUUCAAGAGUCGAUAUAGUGGCAACACCUUUUCUCCCAACCUCGAGAUAAAACGACUCAGCGCCGCUAGGCAUCCCGUGACUCUCUGCACACCCUUGACGUCUCGGAUCGGCCCCAUUCUUGUGAUGGCUGAGACUUUCUCGGGGUUGGCCUCGAUGACGCGUUGGGAAAUGAUGUAACCCAGGAGCAUGCCUCGAGGUACACCGAAAACGCACUUCUCGGGGUUGAGCUUGAUCUGGUUGGCGUGUAAGCAGCUGAAAGCGAUCUCGAGGUCCUGGAUGAGGUCUCCCCGCCACUUUGACUUGACGACGAUGUCGUCGACAUAGGCCUCGACCGUCGACCCUAUGUGCUUGCCAAACACGUGGAGCAUGCAACGCUGAUAUGUGGCUUCCGCGUUUCGAAGCACGAACGGCAUGGUUACAUAACAACACAUCCCAAAAGGUGUAAUGAAAGAGGUCGCGAGCUGAUCAGACUCUUUCAUUUUUAUUUGGUGGUAACCAGAAUACGCAUCAAGGAAAGAAAGGGUUUCACAUCGCGCAGUAGAAUCAACAAUUUGAUCAAUACGUGGUAAUGGAAAAGGAACUUUCGGACAUGCUUUAUUUAAACUUGUAUAAUCAACACACAUCCUCAUUUUCCCAUUCUUUUUCUUAACUAGUACAGGGUUUGCUAACCAGUCGGGAUGGUGAACCUCCUUGAUGAAUCCGGCCGUCAAAAGCUUGUUGAUCUCCUCACCAAUGAUCUUGCGCUUCUCCUCGUUGAAAGGUCCUAAUAUGGCUAGAGGGGGGGGUGAAUAGCCUAUUUAAAAAUUCUACAAACUCACUAGAGCAAGAGGUUAGAAAAUAACAAAGCGAAGCUUUUUGCUCUAGCUCUAAUGGGGUGUAAGCAAGCCACCUACCCAACAAUUCUAGUUGCUAUGAUCACUAUGCGCACAAGAACUAAGUCACUACUUACACUAGAAAGCUACCUAAAGUUUCUAUACAAGUAAGUAAGCUACUCUAGUUUGCGGGAAAGUAAAAGAGAUGGUUUGAACUUUAUACCGCCGCGUAGAGGGGAUGAACCAAUCAAUAAUAUGAAGUCCAAUCACCGGGAGAAAUCCAAUGAACAAUCACAAUGGAGACACACAAUUUUUCUCCCGAGGUUCACGUGCUUGCCGGCACGCUACGUCCCCGUUGUGUCGACCAACACUUGGUGGUUCGGUGACUAAGAGGUGUAGCACGAACCUCGUCCUCACUAGGACACCACAAGAACCUACCCACAAGUGAGGUAGCUCAAUGACACGAGCAAUCCACUAAUGUUGCCUUUGGCACUCCGCCGAGGUAGGCACAAACCUCUCACAAUCACCGGGAGAUGGCCACGAACAAUCACCAACUCGUGCCAAAGCUCCUCUGCUGCUCCAAGCCGUCUAGGUGGCGGCAACCACCAAGAGUAACAAGAAAACCGCAGCUAAAACGAUCCCCAAGUGCCACUAGAUGCAAUCACUCAAGCAAAUGCACUUGGAAUCACUCCCAAUCUCACAAAGAUGUAUAAUCUAUGAAGGAGAUGAGUGGGAGGUGUUUGCUUAGGCUCACAAGGAUGUUAUGUAUGCUAGAAUGCCAAGAGUGUGAGCCCCAAGCCGGCCAAACACGUAUUUAUAACCCCUCAAGCAAAUAGAGCCGUUGGCUCUUUCACUGGGCAAACUGCGGGGUCACCGGACGCUCUUAAAGGGGCACCGGACGCUCAAUACCAGCGUCCGGUGCUCCAACGUCAGCCACGUGUCACGCUCGUGUCAGAAUCUAACGGUCACCUGCAGUGCACCGGACGCUGAGCAAGUGAGCACCGGACAGUCCGGUGCACACCGGACUCAUGCGCAGAGAGCUUCGCAAACUUGCAGGGUCACCGGACGCAAGCCACCGGACGCACCCUUAGCGUCCGGUGCUCACCGGACCCAUGCGCAGAGAGGGUCGCAAAACGCCCGCACACCGGACGCUAACCACCGGACGCUCAAGCCAGCGUCCGGUGCCUAUCGUCCGGUGCCUUACCCUAGCUGGGCCAGGCACUGUCUACACCGGACGCUCAGACGCAGCGUCCGGUGCUCCAGAAGCCAGCGUCCGGUGAGUGUUUUCUCAGCGAGAAACACCCCCGCGACUUCUCCAAAUUUCCCACCGGCGCAAUAGAAAAAAUGCACUUCAUUUUCUCGAAAAGCGCCGAAUCCCGCCUCGCAAGCUCGGCGGGAGGGAGAGAGGAACCCAUCCUCUCUCUACCCUUCAAACUCCACCUCCUUCUCAAAGUGCGCCAACACCACAACGUGUAAACCACCAAGUGCACGUGUGUUAGCAUUUUCACAAACAUUUUCUUUGAAGGAGUUAAGUUAGCUCACUAGGUUCUAAAUGCAUGCACAUGAACAAUGACACCUAGUGGCACUUGAUAACCGCUUAGCCAAAGAAUUCCCCUCUUUAUAGUACGGCUAUCUAUCCUAAAUGUGAUCACACCCUCUAUGGUGUCUUGAUCACCAAAACCAAAACCCUAAGCAAUACCUUUGCCUUGAUCUCCAUAGGGUUUUGUUUUUCUCUUUCUUCUUUUCAAAGUUGAGCACUUGAUCAUCUUGUGGUCGUCACCAUCAUCACCAUGAUCAUCACUUGCUCCAUCACUUGGCAUGUACCAACCUCAUUAAAUCUACACACACUUAGUACUAGGGCUUUCAAUCUCCCCCUUUUUGGUAAUUGAUGACAACCCUUUUUACAAAGAUUUUCAAUAAAAUUUUCUUGGAUUCAUGUUGCUUGCCCAAGCAUUUUACCAUGUGCAAAGAUUAUGGACAAGUUUCAUAAAUCCAAAUUGGUAGCAAUUGCUCCCCCUACAUAUGUGCUAAGAGUUUGGAUUUAAACGCUUGCACAUAUGCUUGAAUAGGAAAUAUAGGAGUCAAUUUCUACCAAAUGAUGCUAAGGUAUAAAGAAUGGACCUUUGAAGCGUGAUACCAAUCGGAGUUGCCAAUAUACACCAUCCUUAGCACCAUUAGUAACUAGACAUUCACAAAAACUAGAACACUCCGUGAGAUCAACAUUAUAAACAAGGUUCUAGAGGUUCUAGUACCACUUGUGAAACAACUAAAAAUCUAGUUACACUACCUAUGCAUGCUAGUUCUUCAUUUCAUCAAUCAAACCUAUAACUAGCAUACACCACACAAGCAAGGCAUUGGAGAGAAAGCUUCUAAAGCUAAUACAAAUGCAAGCAACCAUAUGUGAUGCACAUACAAAUGCAACAUACAAGUUUAUGAGCUUGCUCCCCCUACUUGUGUGCUUCAAAAUUUUAAUUAAUCCCCUUCUUUUAUCAUGUUACUCCCCUAUCUUAAAUCUUUGGGAAAUUUUCUCCCCCUUUGUCAUCAAAGACCACAAAAGGUGAGCUCAAAUUUUAGAUAAGUUUGUGUGAAACCAUAUGAAGUGAGAUCAUUUUACCAAAUUGGUUCAAUCUAGAUUACUUGCCUAAGAUGUUUAACUCGGUUUGAUCCAAGGACAAGCUUCUUCACACCUCCAAAUAAGGGUUAUCUUGUGCCAUGUUGAGUUAAACACUUAUAGCUCAUAUUCUAGAUCAAACACUAGGAUUGCAAGCCCACAAACAUGUCAUAUGCUACCACUAGAUCAAGUCAAGCAUAGAAGCAAUAGUGGUACCAUACAAGCAUCAAAUUCAUUUGAUUUUCAUGAAUGAGACUAAGACAUGUAAGGAAUGACUAGAUGCACUAAGCAAGUCCUUAGCAUAGCAUGGAUGACAUGUCAAACAAUUUUACCUUGCUUUGCUCGAAGGAGAGGCAUGUCAUAAAGUGGGGGUGCAUCAACACAUAUUUGAGAAGUCAAGUAUGUUUAAUUCAUUCCUGAGCUUGCAAAACCUCUUCUCAUCAAGUGGCUUGGUGAAUAUAUCGGCAAGUUGAUCAUCGGUGCCUAUACUUUCAAUGCAAAUGUCCCCUUUUUGUUGGUGAUCUCUUAUGAAAUGAUGGCGGACAUCUAUAUGCUUUGUUCUUGAGUGUUGAACCGGAUUGUUGGUGAGCUUCACUGCACUUUCAUUGUCACAUAGCAAUGGCACUUCUUUGAAAUUGAUUCCAAAAUCCUUCAAUGUUGCCUUCAUCCAUAGGAUUUGUGCACAACAACUACCGGCCGCAAUGUACUCCGCUUCGGCGGUUGAUAGUGCAACACUAUUUUGCUUCUUGGAUGACCAUGAGACAAGUGAUCUUCCCAAUAGUUGACAUGUGCCCGAUGUGCUUCUUCUUUCAACUUUGCAUCCCGCAUAGUCCGAAUCGGAAUAUCCAACAAGUUCAAACUUUGCACCUUUGGGAUACCACAAACCAACAUUUUGUGUAUGCUUCAAGUACCUCAAUAUUCUCUUUGUUGCUUUCAAAUGACUUUCUCUUGGUGAGGCUUGGAAUCUUGCACACAUACAUACACUAAACAUGACAUCCGGUCUUGAUGCGGUCACAUAGAGUAGGCUUCCAAUCAUAGACCGAUACAACUUUUGAUCCACCAUAUUUCCACUUGUAUCACCAUCUAAGCUUCCAUUUGUUCCCAUUGGAGUGCUAAUUGACUUUGCAUCAUCCAUACCAAACUUCUUGAGCAUGUCUUUUAUAUACUUGCCUUGACUCACAAAUGUGCCAUUCUUCAAUUGCUUGAUUUGAAGACCAAGGAAGUAACUAAGCUCUCCAAUCAUUGACAUCUCAAACUCUUUAGCCAUCAUGUUGCCAAACUCUUCACAAAAUUCUUGAUUGGUUGAUCCAAAUAUGAUAUCAUCAACAUAGAUUUGCAACACAAACAAGUCUUUGCCAAUCUUCUUGGUGAAGAGAGUGGUGUCAACCUUGCCCAUCUUGAAACCUUUAGAGAGUAAGAAAUCUCUCAAUCUCUCAUACCAUGCUCUUGGUGCUUGCUUCAAACCAUACAAUGCCUUUCUUAGCUUGUAAACAUGGUUGGGUUUCUUGUCAUCUUCAAAACCGGGAGGUUGCUCAACAUAAACUUCUUCAUUGAUAUAACCAUUGAGAAAUGCACUCUUGACAUCCAUCUGGUAUAGCUUGAUGUUAUGAGCACAAGCAUAGGCCAACAAGAUCCUAAUUGCUUCCAAUCUUGCAACCGGGGCAUAUGUUUCACCAAAGUCAAGACCUUCAACUUGAGUAUAGCCUUGUGCUACCAAUCUUGCUUUGUUCCUUACAACUAUCCCAUCUUGAUCUUGUUUGUUGCGAAAGACCCAUCUAGUACCAAUGACAUUAUGAUCACUAGGCCUCUCAACUAAUUCCCAUACUUGAUUUCUCUUGAAAUUGUUAAGCUCUUCAUGCAUGGCAUUAACCCAAUCAACAUCUCUCAAUGCUUCAUCAAUCUUCUUUGGCUCAAUGUGAGACACAAAGGAGAAAUGCUCACAAAAUGAUGCUAAUCUUGAUCUAGUUUGCACUCCUCUUUGAAUGUCACCAAUGAUAUGAUCCAAUGGAUGAUCUCUUGCAAUAUUUGUUGGUUGGAGUAUUUGCACUUGAUUGCUUGCACUUGAUUGAUCAUGAGAUGAUGUACUAGCUUGUUGAUCUUGCACUUGAGUACCACUUGUACUAGCUUGAUUUUGAUCAUGAGAACCACUAGUUUGCACAUUAGAGGUAGGAAGCACUUGAUCUUUGUCAUCUUCAACAUCAAUCACCUCUCUAGGCCUCAAAUCACCAAUAUCCAUAUUUUUCAUUGCAUCGGCCAAUUGAGUGCCUCUCACAUCAUCUAGAUUCUCAUCUUCCUCUUGAGAGCCAUUGGUUUCAUCAAAUUCAACAUCAUGCACCUCCUCAAGAGUACCACUAGCCAAAUUCCAAACUCUAUAAGCUUUGCUAGUAGUUGAGUAACCAAGCAAGAAUCCUUCAUCACAUUUCUUUUCAAAUUUACUCAAUCUAGUGCCUUUCUUCAAUAUAUAGCAUUUGCAACCAAAAACCCGAAAGUAUGCAAUGUUGGGCUUUCUUCCAUUCAAGAGCUCAUAUGGUGUCUUCUCCAUCAUUGGGUGACAAUAGAGUCGGUUGCUAUAGUAGCAAGCCGUGUUGAUUGCUUCGGCCCAAAAAGAAUGACUCACAUUGUAUUCACUCAACAUUGAUCUUGCCAUGUCAAUCAAGGUUCUAUUCUUUCUCUCAACAAGACCAUUUGAUUGUGGAGUGUAUUUGGCCGAGAAUUGAUGCCUAAUGCCAAAUUCAUCACAAAGCUCAUCAACUCUUGUAUUCUUGAAUUCGCUUCCAUUGUCACUUCUCACUUUCUUGAUGGUUGUUUCAAACUCAUUGUGUAUUCUCUUGACAAAUGAUUUGAAGGUUGCAAAAGCAUCACUCUUGUCACUAAGAAAGAAUACCCAUGUAUAUCUUGUGAAAUCAUCCACUAUCACAAAUCCAUAUUUGUUUCCACCAAUGCUUGUGUAUGUGGUUGGUCCAAAUAAGUCCAUGUGCAACAACUCAAAUGCCUUGCAUGUACUCAUGAUGCUUUUCUUUGGAUGAGUGUUGCCAACUUGUUUUCCGGCUUGACAUGCACUACAAAGCUUGUCUUUCUCAAAUGUGACAUCUUUCAAGCCUCUAACAAGAUCAUGCUUGAUUAACUUGUUCAAUUGUUUCAUUCCAACAUGACCAAGCCUUCUAUGCCAUAACCAACCCAUGCUAGAUUUAGUGAGCAAGCAUGUUGAUAAUUGAGCUUCACUAGCAUUGAAAUCAACCAAGUAUAGAUUCUCAUGUCUAAAGCCUUUGAAUAUCAAGUUAGAGCCAUCUACACUUAUGAUCUCUACAUCAUCAACUCCAAAUAUGCAUUUGAAACCAAGAUCACAAAGUUGAGCUACGGAUAGCAAGUUGAAGUUCAAGCUCUCUACUAGUAGCACAUUGGAAAUGCUCAAGUCAUUGGAUAUAGCAAUUUUACCAAGCCCUUUGACCUUGCCUUUGCCAUUGUCACCAAAUGUGAUACUAUCAACACCAUUGUCAUCAUUUGCAUUGAUUGAAUUGAACAUUCUUGAAUCACCGGUCAUAUGUUGUGUGCACCCACUAUCAAGCACCCAAUGCCUUCCUCCGGCUUUAUAGUUUACCUACAAAACAAAUCAAUGUUUCUUAGGUACCCAUACUUGUUUGGGUCCUUGGAGGUUAGUGACUAAGCUCUUUGGUACCCAAAUGGCCUUCUUCUUUGGACCCACAAUUGGUGUACCAACAAACUUAGCAUGCACACCCUUCUCACCCUUGGUAAGCACAUAACAAGAAUCAAAAGGAAUGUAAGGUGCAUUAGCAAUUUUCUUGUUCUUGUUCAUUUUAUUGCAAUUAAGCUCUAAGUGCCCAACUUGCUUGCAUUUAUUGCAAUACCGACCAUUGCUCUUCACAAAGCUAGGCUUGUGAGUUGCAAAGGCUUUCUUGCCCUUCUUGGGGGUAUAGCCUAAUCCCUCUUUGUUGAGAGAAAACCUUUGGCUACCCAAGCACUUUAGCAAGCGGGCCUCACCACCAUAGGCCUUGUCUAGGGCGUGAGUGAGCUCAUCCACCUCUCUCUUGAGAGUCUCAUUCUCAACCUUUAGUGAGGUCUCACAAGUGACACUAACAUUAGAAGUGGAGGUAGAGUUGGUGGUGGUGGAUGAAGACCUACAAGAAGAGUUAGUGGCAACAACAAUAGGUAGGUUGGGUGAUUCUUUAAUUAAGUCACAUGUUGUGCCCACAUCACAUGAUACAUCAACCUUUUCCUUGUUCUCUUCUAACAACAAGGAGUGAGCUUUCUCAAGCUUGGUGUGAGCCUUGCCAAGCUUCUCAUGGGCUUCCACUAGCCUCUCAUGAUUAGCAUUGAGCUCAUCAAAGGAUUGCUCAAGAGCUUUUAACUUCUUGGCCAAUUCUUUGCACUUCUUGUUUUUAGAUUGAAUGAGAGAAUUGGCUUGUUCUAACAUGUCCAUGAGUUGUUCAUUAGUGAAUUCAUUUUCAUCAUCACUAUCACUAUCAUGUUCAUGUUCACUUUCACUUUCACUCUCAUCAUAUUGUACCUUGUGGCCCUUGGCCAUGAAGCAUGAAGGAGUGUCGAAGAGUGAUGGCUUGUUGUUGAUAGCAAUGCUUGCAAGCGCCUUCUUCUUGGAUGCCUUGUCAUCAUCACUAGAAUCAUCAUCCGAAGAAGCAUCACUAUCCCAUGUCACAACAUAGGAUCCACCCUUCUUCUUCUUCUUGAAGACCAUCUUCUUUUCUUUCUUUUCUUUCUUCUCCUUCUUGUUCUUCUUCUCAUGCUCAUCAUGAUCACUAUUGUGUGGACAAUCCGCCACAAUAUGAUCGGGACUCUUGCACUUGUAGCAUAGCCUCACAUAUUCCUUGUUCUUGGAGUUGUCCCUUCUCUUUCUUGUAUGGUAGCCCUUCUUCUUCAUCAUCUUGCCAAACUUGCGGACGAAGAGUGCUAGUGCUUCAUCAUCACUAUCAUCAUUAGAGCACUCCUCAUCACUUGAUUCUUCCUUCUUGGCCUUGCCCUUGUUCUUGCUCUUGGAUGAAGAGCUAGCUUUGAAUGCUACACUCUUCUUCUUCUUGUCAUCAUCAUCCUUCUUCAUGACCUCAUCAUCAUCAUUGUCAUUGUAUUGAUCUUCGGUCAUGACAUCUCCAAGUACCUCAUUGGGAGAUACACCGGUCAAUCCACCUCUAAAGAUGAUUGUUCUCAAUGUCUUGAACCUCUUGGGCAAGCACAUCAAGAACUUGUGAAUGAAGUCCUCAUCCUUCACUUUCUCACCAAGGCCCUUGAGAUCAUUUAUGAUGACUUGGAGCCUAUAGAACAUCUCCGGUAUGGACUCAUCAUCCUUCAUCUUGAAGUUUGAAAGCUUGUCCUUGAGCAUAUACAACUUGGCACUUUUUACCGUUGUAGUGCCCUCAUAUGUUUCUUCAAGCCUUGUCCACACUUCACUAGCCUUCUCAAGAUCUUUGACUUGUUCAAAUACCUUUGAAUCAAUGCCAUUGUAUAUUGUGUUGAGAGCCAUAGUAUUGCAUUGCUUGUUUGCUUUCUCAUUAUCGGUGGGGUUAGCCGGAUCAAGAAUCACAAAGUCAUUUUCGGUGACUUCCCACACUCUAUCAUUUAUUGAUCCAAGAUACAUUUUCAUCUUUCUCUUCCAAUAGUCAAAAGAACUUGUGCCAUCAAAGAAUGGUGGUUUGCCCCCAACAUGGUUGAACACUAUUUGAGCCAUAAUUUGAGCACCGAGGUUGUUAAGCCUUCACAAAACGGUGACCACGGCUCUGAUACCACUUGAAAGGUCCUAAUAUGGCUAGAGGGGGGUGAAUAGCCUAUUUAAAAAUUCUACAAACUCACUAGAGCAAGAGGUUAGAAAAUAACAAAGCGAAGCUUUUUGCUCUAGCUCUAAUGGGGUGUAAGCAAGCCACCUACCCAACAAUUCUAGUUGCUAUGAUCACUAUGCGCACAAGAACUAAGUCACUACUUACACUAGAAAGCUACCUAAAGUUUCUAUACAAGUAAGUAAGCUACUCUAGUUUGCGGGAAAGUAAAAGAGAUGGUUUGAACUUUAUACCGCCGCGUAGAGGGGAUGAACCAAUCAAUAAUAUGAAGUCCAAUCACCGGGAGAAAUCCAAUGAACAAUCACAAUGGAGACACACAAUUUUUCUCCCGAGGUUCACGUGCUUGCCGGCACGCUACGUCCCCGUUGUGUCGACCAACACUUGGUGGUUCGGUGACUAAGAGGUGUAGCACGAACCUCGUCCUCACUAGGACACCACAAGAACCUACCCACAAGUGAGGUAGCUCAAUGACACGAGCAAUCCACUAAUGUUGCCUUUGGCACUCCGCCGAGGUAGGCACAAACCUCUCACAAUCACCGGGAGAUGGCCACGAACAAUCACCAACUCGUGCCAAAGCUCCUCUGCUGCUCCAAGCCGUCUAGGUGGCGGCAACCACCAAGAGUAACAAGAAAACCGCAGCUAAAACGAUCCCCAAGUGCCACUAGAUGCAAUCACUCAAGCAAAUGCACUUGGAAUCACUCCCAAUCUCACAAAGAUGUAUAAUCUAUGAAGGAGAUGAGUGGGAGGUGUUUGCUUAGGCUCACAAGGAUGUUAUGUAUGCUAGAAUGCCAAGAGUGUGAGCCCCAAGCCGGCCAAACACGUAUUUAUAACCCCUCAAGCAAAUAGAGCCGUUGGCUCUUUCACUGGGCAAACUGCGGGGUCACCGGACGCUCUUAAAGGGGCACCGGACGCUCAAUACCAGCGUCCGGUGCUCCAACGUCAGCCACGUGUCACGCUCGUGUCAGAAUCUAACGGUCACCUGCAGUGCACCGGACGCUGAGCAAGUGAGCACCGGACAGUCCGGUGCACACCGGACUCAUGCGCAGAGAGCUUCGCAAACUUGCAGGGUCACCGGACGCAAGCCACCGGACGCACCCUUAGCGUCCGGUGCUCACCGGACCCAUGCGCAGAGAGGGUCGCAAAACGCCCGCACACCGGACGCUAACCACCGGACGCUCAAGCCAGCGUCCGGUGCCUAUCGUCCGGUGCCUUACCCUAGCUGGGCCAGGCACUGUCUACACCGGACGCUCAGACGCAGCGUCCGGUGCUCCAGAAGCCAGCGUCCGGUGAGUGUUUUCUCAGCGAGAAACACCCCCGCGACUUCUCCAAAUUUCCCACCGGCGCAAUAGAAAAAAUGCACUUCAUUUUCUCGAAAAGCGCCGAAUCCCGCCUCGCAAGCUCGGCGGGAGGGAGAGAGGAACCCAUCCUCUCUCUACCCUUCAAACUCCACCUCCUUCUCAAAGUGCGCCAACACCACAACGUGUAAACCACCAAGUGCACGUGUGUUAGCAUUUUCACAAACAUUUUCUUUGAAGGAGUUAAGUUAGCUCACUAGGUUCUAAAUGCAUGCACAUGAACAAUGACACCUAGUGGCACUUGAUAACCGCUUAGCCAAAGAAUUCCCCUCUUUAUAGUACGGCUAUCUAUCCUAAAUGUGAUCACACCCUCUAUGGUGUCUUGAUCACCAAAACCAAAACCCUAAGCAAUACCUUUGCCUUGAUCUCCAUAGGGUUUUGUUUUUCUCUUUCUUCUUUUCAAAGUUGAGCACUUGAUCAUCUUGUGGUCGUCACCAUCAUCACCAUGAUCAUCACUUGCUCCAUCACUUGGCAUGUACCAACCUCAUUAAAUCUACACGCACUUAGUAUAGAGGUUAGUAUUAGGGUUUCAUCAAUUAUCCAAAACCAAACUAGGGCUUUCACUCGUCGAAUCAGCACAACCGUUGCUUCACUGGCUUGGAACCGGCUCGAAUUUCCAAGGAGUGCUCGGCGACUUCCCUCGGUAUGCCCGGCAUGUCUGAGGGACUCCAUGCAAACAUGUCGGCGUUUGCACAGAGAAAGUCGACGAGCACGGCUUCCUAUUUGGGGUCGAGGUCGGCGCUGAUCGUCAGCACCUUGCCGUCGGAGUUGUUGGGGUCGAGCGGGAUCUUCUUGGUUCCUUCCGCCGGCUCGAAGCUGCCCGCGUCGCGCUUGGGCUCUGGAGCCUCAGCGGCCAGGGCCUCGAGCUUUGAGGCGAGCUCGGUGGAACUCUCGACCGCCUCCCCAUACUCGACGCACUCGACGUCGCACUCAUAUGCGUGCUCGAAGGAGGAGCUGACAGUGAUGACGCCCUUGGGCCCAGGCAUCUUCAGCUUCAAGUAGGUGUAGUUGAGAAUAGCCAUGAAUUUGGCGUAGCCCGGGCGCCCGAUGAUGGCAUGGUACGUGCCUCGGAACCCCACCACCUCAAAGGUGAGGGUCUCCUUUCUAAUGUUGGCCGCUGUGCCAAAGCAGACGGUAGGUCGAUUCGACCUACCUGCAUCGCCUUCUUCCCAGGAACGACGCCAUGGAAGCCUCCGGCGCUUGGCUGGAGCUGUGACCUGUUGAUGCCGAGGAGGUCAAGAGUCUCGAGGUAAAUGAUGUUUAGGCUGCUGCCGCCAUCCAUCAGCACCUUCGAGAGUCUGGUGUUGACGAUGAUGGGGUCGACGACAAGCGGGUAGACGCCAGGGGCGACCACCUUGUCAGGGUGGUCCUCUCGAUCGAAGGUGAUGGGGUACUCGACCAGCUAAGGUACUGGGGUACCGCCAUCCUUGCUGCAAAGACUUCACAGCGCUCCCUCUUGCGUUGCCUUGCAGUCAGCUGCGUUGAGGGCCCACCGUAGAUCAUGUAGCAGUCGUAGACGGCAGGGAAACCGUCGUCGUCUUUGUCAUUCCCCUUGUCGUCGUUCUUAUCCUUCUUUGGGUCGUCGCGCACGUCCUUCUUGAACCCCAGACCGUCGAAAUGCUUUUUCCACAUACGACAGUCCUCGAGCUUAUGGUUGGCUCCUCCCUUAUGGUAAUGGCACGGCUCCUUCAGCAUCUUAUCGAAGAUGCCUGCCUCUGGAGGACCUCGAGGCCUUUUGCGUUCCAUGGCGGCGACGAGAUCGUCGUCUAGCUCUUCCCGCUGGAACGGGCGGGUUUUCUUCUUCUUCUUCUUGUUCUUCUUGAGCCCUCGACUAGGGCCCUCAUCAUCAUCGGCGGGCGGCUUGCCCUUCCUUCCUUCACAGCUGAAGAAAGCGCCGACCGCUUCUUCUCUCGCAGCAUAGUUAGCCACCAUGUCCAUCAGCUUGUCGACGGUCUGAGGGCGAUUCCGGCCCAAUUCCCGCACCAAGUCUCGACUGGUGGUACCAGAGACAAAGGCCAGGAUGACGUCGUGGUCGGGGAUGUGCCGCAGCUCGGUGCGUUGCUUUGAGAAGCGUCAAGCAUACUCUUGAAGAGUUUCUCCUGACUUCUGCUUGCACUUGCUAAGGUCCCACGAGUUUCUAGGCCGUAUGUAGGUCCCUUUGAAAUUACCCUCGAAUACUCUAACCAAAUCGACCCAGUCGUGGAUCCGAUCGGCUGGAAGUUCCUCGAGCCACCUGCGGGCGGUGUCGGAGAGGAAGAGUGGCAGCUGUCUUAUGAUGGCUCGAUCGUCUCCUCGAGCGCCUCCUAGCUGACAGGCCAGCCUGAAGUCUGCCAGCCAUAGCUCUGGUUUGGUUUCACCGUUGUACUUUGUGAUGCUGGUCGGGGGUCGCAACGGACUGGGCAGCGGCGUGCUGCGGAUCGCCCUGCUGAACACCCGUGGGCCUGGUGGCUCUGGGGCCAUCCGGUCCUCAUCGCUGUCGUACCUACUGCCGCGAUGGGCGCUGUAACCGCGCUCUUCCGCAUCCCCGUACCGACGGCGACGAUUCUCUUCAAUGUCGCGUCGUGCGUCGUGCCGACGUUGGUUGUCGACGGCGAGUACGAGCGUGGUCUUUUUCCCUCGAGGGGGUGGCUGCUGAUGGACCGACACCUCCUUUUCGUUUUGGGCUGGCUCAUCGCGCUUUUUAGUGGCCGCUCCUCGGCGUCGAGAAGCCGAGCUUUCGGCCUGCUGAACUAUCGCCACCUGGAGCAGGGUCCGCACCUCGUCUCGGAUGCGCCGCGCUUGGGAGUUCGACGUCUCCGGCAUGUUUCGCAGCAGCAUUGUUGCUGCCACAACGUUCUGGCCUGCUCGAGGGAAACGGCUGACGGGCUGCUCAGGCUCUACGUCUCCGACGAUUUGCCGGUGUACCUCUCGAGCUCGUCUGCGGACACUUCCGCCAGGCGGGUAAGGCAGGUCCUGCUCGAGGAUUUGCUCAAGCAGAACAAGGCGCUCGUGAUCCUCGUCAAGCUUUGCCUUGAGCUCUUGUUGCUGCGCUAUUUGUGCGGCUCUGUCCUCUUGCGGAGGGGGGUCGAUCUGACCGUCAUUCCCAGGUGUCGUGGGGUCUUCCCUCGCUGCAGGGGCUCGCCCGCCUGCAAUGGCGUCUUGCGUCUCGUCGGUGGUUUCCACCACUCCGUCGAUAUGGAAGACUCCCUAGUAGGGUCAUAGCUGUUGGAUUCCGAGCCGGAGUCUGUCUCGGCGGCGUAGAAGCAUCCACGUCCCUCCUCCAGCAGCCGCUGCCUGAGCGAGGUGAUCGUGUAUCGCCUAGGGCCUAGGCGACGGAGGCUUCAUACCUGGGAGAAAUCCGGCAGCUUAGACGUCGGUUGCUGUGCUCCAGGGUGGCAUGGGAGGACCAUUUGUCUCUCCACGUACGUCUAGGCGUUUGGGCAUAUUGCCCUGGCGAGCGACGCUGCGGCAUUGUCCAAUCCGAACGGCAGCGCCCUUCUUGGAGUGAACAACCCAUGUGGAAGUAACCUGGCGGUGGGGGAGAGCGUGCGGGGCGCGUCACCUCUUGUCGUCGUGUGAUCCUCGCGGCGCUGAGCCGUCAUGCCCGCGGUUCCGGCGCGCGGUGUUGUCGGCUCCUGUGCCUCCUCCUGCCUAGCACGAACUGUCAGUCGUGACGAGGCAGAAGGGCGACGGUGGUGCUGUCCACGCCUAUUCUUGGGCGGGGAGGCGUGGUGGCGAGGACGUCUCAGGGCCCUCAAUCGUGCUGGCGCAACGCGGGUUCCUCCCGGUCCUUUGAUCGAGAGCAAGAUCAUGUCAUAGCCGGAGCCAGUAGACAUGAACUCGAGACUCCCAAACCAAAUCACCGUGGAGCACGGAAUCGGCGAGGCGAGAGUGGCCAUCUGGAAAGGAAUGGGAAAUCGAUGAAAAACACAUAGGACCCCUACCUGGCACGCCAACUGUCGGUGUUUUCCCCACGGGGGGUCACACCAACGAGUAAAUUUGUGUGCGUGUUACCUUUUCCAGAUGGUGAUGCAAGAAGACACGAAGAUUUAUCCUGGUUCAGGCAUGAGAAGGCCCUACGUCCAGCGGGGGGGGGAGAGUUUGUAUUAUCUUGCACCUAAGUGCUCGUACAGGGGUGAAUACAAGCGUGGUAUGGAAUGAGAUGGAGUAUGGAAGUUCUACUGUGUAUGGAUGUAGUGUUGCGUGAUGUCUUGUGUCGUGUUCGCUCCCGGGCCUCCCCUUUUAUAGUUCCAAGGAGAAGCCUAGGGUACAAGUAUAGGCGUCAGAGUAGGGGUCGGUAGAGGUAUGUUGCGCGGACCUACUCGAGGCCUCCGUACCGUCGUGGUCUCGAGCCGUCCUGUCCCGGUAGCUUGAUGAUGAUUACGCGUGCCCCUGUAUCCCGCUCCGUGCGCCGUCGUGGACUGGUUUAUCAGUCGCACGCCUGUACGUCAUGGCGACAGAUACGCCGGAGUGGCUGCAGUGUUGUCAUUCGACGCCCAACCCUUCCCCAGGAAGGAAACAUGUCUGGUCGAGGGCCGGACGCCGUGCAGCGCCUUGCUAUCUAGAGCGUUGACCUUGAAUGCCUCGAGGGGGUCUUGAUUAGACGUUCCAACCCUGCUUCCCGCGUUCUGACAUACUCUGGAUUGUUUGGUGGGGAAGGCUGCAAAAAGAAUGACGGGACGGGUGCCUGUUCCCUAUCACGCUUCCCGUGACCGGCGUGUUAGGUGGGAAAGCGACAGGCGCAUUAAAUGCCCUGGCUCCCGUGCGUGCGUCAGGCGGCGGGCGGCGUCCUUGCACUUGACGCCUCCUGAUUCGCUCGAGCCUAUUUCCGUAUUCGACGGUAGUUGGCGCUCGAGCCCUGAUCGAUUCGCUCGACGCCCUUUCCGUCUUCGAGGCCGCGGUCGUCAAUGACUGUAUGUGCGACUGAUUGGGUAGAGCGUCGAGUCGGGGGCCUCGACUUGCGUACGGGCAAUCUUAUUAUGUGCAGCAGUUAGGACACCCCUUACUGAUACCCUCGACAAUAUGAGACACAUGAUCUAGGAGUUCUAUCGGGUGCGUCCAAAUUGAUUUCUGAGAAUAUGGUAUGUUACAUGCAAAUCGUGCACCUAUCUUGCAUCAAGAUUAGCACUAUCUCCAAACAGAUCGAACCGACCUUCAACUUGAGCCUCUUCACCUAGGAUUAUCAUCGGGUGCUUCCAUAAUGGUUUCUGUGCCUAUGGUGCAUUAUGCGCAAACCAUGCACCAAUCCUGCACCUAAACUAACACUGUCUCUAAACAGAUUGAAGCGAGAUUCCAUAUUGUUGGUGUAAAAGCUGAUCUACAAACACAAAGGGCUAAUACCCAAUUCAAACGUUAAGGCGUGCCAGCCGAUUUGACCUUACAACCGACAAAGGUGGUAACCUGAACACUUUGGUCCCGACAACAGCGAUGCGCCCGGAUGUCACAGCCAAGAUGUGCUCAUGCGGAACUUGAGAACACGCCGAGCUUGACUCGACGAAUUCCUAAGAACUCGUCGUAAAAAGGAAAAAUAUGACGAAGUCGUCGAAAAGUAUAUGCUGGAAUAUGAGUAAAAACUCGUGUUUGAUUGAUUUAUAGAUGUCUCAUUACAUUGCUCUAGGGUCUACAUUUAUACCCUGUCCAAAAAGCAACAACUAGACACGACUAGGACUCAAAUUCAAAAUUAAACGGAAACCGCAUACAAAACGAUUUCUAAUAACUAAGGAAAACAUUAAACUACCCCCCGUAACUGAUCGGGACAGCACCACGAAUCAAUCGGCAACUUCCACGCUUUCCUCCAGAGUCAUCGGCAGACUAUCUAUUACGGCCAUCGGCAAAUACUGGCACUGGUCAUCGGCACGAAUAUACCAUCACUUCUGGACUUGGUCAUAUUCGGUUGUCUCCCCAUCAGCAACCUCCUUCAUCGGCAACUUCCCUGCAGACUGGUCACCACUGCUCCAUCUGCUGAUCCACAUGCCAUUAACUCCACAUACGUAUCAAAAGAUACGUGUCCAAAAACGGUGUCAACACAUAUGACACACAUGAUCUAGGAGUUCUAUCGGGUGCGUCCAAAUUGAUUUCUGAGAAUAUGGUACGUUCCAUGCAAACCAUACACCUAUCUUUCAUCAAGAUUAGCACUAUCUCCAAACAGACCGAACUGAGCUUUCACUUGAGCCUCUUCACCUAUGAGUACCAUCGGGAACUUCCACAACGAUUUCUAAGCCUAUGGUGCACUGGGCAUAAACCAUGCAACUAUCUUGCCCCAAAACUAAUACUAUCUCCAACUAGACCGAAGCGAGAUUCCAUAUGAUACACUUCAUCUAGUAGUUCCAUCGGGUGCAUCUACAGUUCCAUCGGGUGUGUCCAAAUUGAUUUCUGAGCAUAUGGUAUGUUCCAUGCAAACCGUGCACCUAUCUUGCAUCAAGAUUAGAACUAUCUCCAAACAGACAGAACCAAGAUUCCACAUGAGCCUCUUCACCAAGGAGUACCAUCGCGUGCGUCCAAAAUAGUUUCUUAUCCUAUGGUGCAUUAGGCACAAACCGUGUACCUAUCGUGCACCGAAACUAACACUAUCUCCAAAGAGACCGAAGUGACAUUAUAUAUGACACACGUCAUCUAAGAGUUCUGUUGGGUGCUUCCAAAUAUAUUUCUAAGCAUAUGGUACGUUUGAUGCAAUUCGUGCACCUAUCUUGCAUCAAGAUUAGCACUAACUCCAAACAAAGCAAACUGAGAUUCCACUUGAGCCCCUUUACCCAGGAGUAUCAUCGGGUGCAUCCAAAAUGGUUUCUUAGCCUAUGAUGCAUUAGGCGCAAACUGUGUACCUAUCUUGCACCAAAACUAACUCUAUCUCCAAACAGACCAAAGUGAGAUUCUGUAUGACACAUGUCAUCUAGGAGUUCUAUUGGGGUGCAACCAAAUGGAUUUCUUAGCAUAUUGUAUGUUCCAUGCAAACCGUGUACCUAUCUUGCAUCAAGAUUAGCACUAUCUCCAAACAGAACGAGCUGACCUUCCACUUGAGCCUCUUCACCUAGAAUUAUCAUCGGGUGCUUGCAUAAUGGUUUCUGAGCCUAUGGUGCAUUAUGCGCAAACCAUGCACCAAUCUUGCACCUAAACUAACACUGUCUCUAAACAGACUGAAGCGAGAUUCCAUAUGAAACACAUGAUCUAGGAGUUCUAUCGGGUGCGUCCAAAUUGAUUUAUGAGAAUAUGGUAGGUUCCAUGCAAAUCGUGCACCUAUCUUGCAUCAAGAUUAGCACUAUCUCCAAACAGAUCGAACCAACCUUCCACUUGAGCCUCUUCACCUAGGAUUAUCAUUAGGUGCUUCCAUAAUGGUUUCUGAGCCUAUGGUGCAUUAUGCGCAAACCAUACACCAAUCUUGCACCUAAACUAACACUGUUUCCAAACAGAUUGAAGAGAGAUUCUAUAUGACACACAUGAUCUAGGAGUUCUAUUGGGUGCGUCCAAAUUGAUUUCUGAGAAUAUGGAACGUUCCAUGCAAACCGUACACUUAUCUUUCAUCAAGAUUAGCACUAUCUCCAAACAGACCGAACCGUGCUUUCACUUGAGCCUCUUCACCUAGGAGUACCAUUGGGAACUUCCACAAUGAUUUCUGAGCCUAUGGUGCACUGGGCACAAACCAUGCAACUAUCUUGCUCCGAAACUAAUACUAUCUCCAACUGGACCGAAGCGAGAUUCCAUAUGAUACACUUCAUCUAGUAGUUCCAUCGGGUGCAUCUACAGUUCCAUCGGGUGUGUCCAAAUUGAUAUCUGAGCAUAUGGUAUGUUCCAUGCAAACCGUGCACCUAUCUUGCAUCAAGAUUAGAACUAUCUCCAAACAGACAGAACCAAGAUUCCACAUGACCCUCUUCACCAAGGAGUACCAUCACGUGCGUGCGAAAUAGUUUCUUAGCCUAUGGUGCAUUAGGUACAAACCAUGUACCUAUCUUGCACCGAAACUAACACUAUCUCCAAAGAGACCGACGUGAGAUUAUAUAUGACACACGUCAUCUAAGAGUUCUAAUGGGUGCUUCCAAAUAUAUUUCUAAGCAUAUGGUACGUUCGAUGCAAUUCGUGCACCUAUCUUGCAUCUAGAUUAGCACUAUCUCCAAACAAAGCAAACUGAGCUUCCACUUGAGCCCCUUUACCCAGGAGUAUCAUCGGGUGCAUCCAAAAUGUUUUCUUAGCCUAUGAUGCAUUAGGCGCAAACUAUGUACCUAUCUUGCACCAAAACUGACUCUGUCUCCAAACAGACCAAAGCAAGAUUCUAUAUGACACAUGUCAUCUAGGUGUUCUAUUAGGGUACGUCCAAAUUGAUUUCUUAGCAUAUGGUAUGUUCCAUGCAAACCGUGCACCUAUCUUGCAUCAAGAUUAGCACUAUCUCCAAACAUAUCGAACCGACCUUCCACUUGAGCCUCUUCACCUAGGAUUAUCAUCGGGUGCUUGCAUAAUGGUUUCUGAGCCUAUGGUGCAUUAUGCGCAAACCAUGCACCAAUCUUGCACCUAAACUAACACUGUCUCCAAACAGAUUGAAGCGAGAUUCCAUAUGACACACAUGAUCUAGGAGUUCUAUCGGGUGCGUCCAAAUUGAUUUCUGAGAAUAUGGUACGUUCCAUGCAAACCGUACACCUAUCUUUCAUCAAGAUUAGCACUAUCUCCAAACAGACCGAACCGAGCUUUCACUUGAGCCUCUUCACCUAGGAGUACCCUCGGGAACUUCCACAAUGAUUUCUGAGCCUAUGGUGCACUGGGCACAAACCAUGCAACUAUCUUGCACCGAAACUAAUACUAUCUCCAACUGGACCGAAGCGAGAUUCCAUAUGAUACACUUCAUCAAGUAGUUCCAUCGGGUGCAUCUACAGUUACAUCGGGUGUGUCCAAAUUGAUUUCCGAGCAUAUGGUAUGUUCUAUGCAAACUGUGCACCAAUCUUACAUCAAGAUUAGAACUAUCUCCAAACAGACAGAACCAAAAUUCCACAUGAGCCUCUUCACCAAGGAGUACCAUCGCAUGCGUCCAAAAUAGUUUCUUAGCCUAUGGUGCAUUAGGCACAAACCGUGUAGCUAUCUUGCACCGAAACUAACACUAUCUCCAAAGAGACCGAAGUGAGAUUCUAUAUGACACACGUCAUCUAGGAGUUCUAUUGGGUGCUUCCAAAUAUAUUUCGAAGCAUAUGGUGCGUUCCAUACAAUUCGUGCACCUAUCUUGCAUCAAGAUUAGCACUAUCUCCAAACAAAAGCAAACUGAGCUUCCACUUGAGCCCCUUUACCGAGGAGUAUCAUCGGGUGCAUCCAAAAUGGUUUCUUAGCCUAUGAUGCAUUAGGCGCAAACUGUGUACCUAUCUUGCACCAAAACUGACUCUGUCUCCAAACAGACCGAAGCGAGAUUCCAUAUGACACAUGUCAUCUAGGAGUUCAAUUUGGGUGCACCUAAAUUGAUUUCUUAGCAUAUGGUAUGUUCCAUGCAAACCGUGCACCUAUCUUGCAUCAAGAUUAGCACUACCUCCAAACAGAUCGAACCAACCUUCCACUUGAGCCUCUUCACCUAGGAUUAUCAUCGGGUGCUUCCAUAAUGGUUUCUGAGCCUAUGGUGCAUUAUGCGCAAACCAUGCACCAAUCUUGCACCUAAACUAACACUGUCUCCAAACAGAUUGAAGCGAGAUUCCAUAUGACACACAUGAUCUAGGAGUUCUAUUGGGUGCGUCCAAAUUGAUUUCUAAGAAUAUGGUACGUUCCAUGCAAACCGUACACCUAUCUUUCAUCAAGAUUAGCACUAUCUCCAAACAGACCGAACCGAGCUUUCACUUGAGCCUCUUCACCUAGGAGUAACAUUGGGAACUUCCACAAUGAUUUCUGAGCCUAUGGUGCACUGGGCACAAACCAUGCAACUAUCUUGCACCGAAACUAAUACUAUCUCCAACUGGACCGAAGCGAGAUUCCAUAUGAUACACUUCAUCUAGUAGUUCCAUCGGGUGCAUCUACAGUUCCCUCGGGUUUGUCCAAAUUGAUUUCUGAGCAUAUGGUAUGUUCCAUGUAAACCGUACACCUAUCUUGCAUCAAGAUUAGAACGAUCUCCAAACAGAAGUAACCAAGAUUCCACUUGAGCCUCUUCACCAAGGAGUACCAUCGUGUGCGUCCAAAAUAGUUUCUUACCCCAUGGUGCAUUAAGCACAAACAGUGUACCUAUCUUGCACCGAAACUAACACUAUCUCCAAAGAGACCGAAGUGAGAUUCUAUAUGACACACGUCAUCUAGGAGUUCUAUUGGGUGCUUCCAAAUAUAUUUCGAAGCAUAUGGUACGUUCCAUGCAAUUCGUGCACCUAUCUUGCAUCAAGAUUAGCACUAUCUCCAAACAAAGCAAACUGAGCUUCCACUUAAGCCCCUUUACCCAGGAGUAUCAUCGGGUGCAUCCAAAAUGGUUUCUUAGCCUAUGAUGCAUUAGGCGCAAACUGUGUACCUAUCUUGCACCAAAACUGACUCUGUCUCCAAACAGACCAAAGCAAGAUUCUAUAUGACACAUGUCAUCUAGGUGUUCUAUUAGGGUACGUCCAAAUUGAUUUCUUAGCAUAUGGUAUGUUCCAUGCAAACUGUGCACCUAUCUUGCAUCAAGAUUAGCACUAUCUCCAAACAUAUCGAACCGACCUUCCACUUGAGCCUCUUCACCUAGGAUUAUCAUCGGGUGCUUGCAUAAUGGUUUCUGAGCCUAUGGUGCAUUAUGCGCAAACCAUGCACCAAUCUUGCACCUAAACUAACACUGUCUCCAAACAGAUUGAAGCGAGAUUCCAUAUGACACACAUGAUCUAGGAGUUCUAUUGGGUGCGUCCAAAUUGAUUUCUGAGAGUAUGGUACGUUCCAUGCAAACCGUACACCUAUCUUUCAUCAAGAUUAGCACUAUCUCCAAACAGACCGAACCGAGCUUUCACUUGAGCCUCUUCACCUAGGAGUACCAUCGGGAACUUCCACAAUGAUUUCUGAGCCUAUGGUGCACUGGGCACAAACCAUGCAACUAUCUUGCACCGAAACUAAUACUAUCUCCAACUGGACCGAAGCGAGAUUCCAUAUGAUACACUUCAUCAAGUAGUUCCAUCGGGUGCAUCUACAGUUCCAUCGGGUGUGUCCAAAUUGAUUUCUGAGCAUAUGGUAUGUUCUAUGCAAACUGUGCACCUAUCUUACAUCAAGAUUAGAACUAUCUCCAAACAGACAGAACCAAAAUUCCACAUGAGCCUCUUCACCAAGGAGUACCAUCGCAUGCGUCCAAAAUAGUUUCUUAGCCUAUGGUGCAUUAGGCACAAACGCGUGUAGCUAUCUGNNNNNNNNNNNNNNNNNNNNNNNNNNNNNNNNNNNNNNNNNNNNNNNNNNNNNNNNNNNNNNNNNNNNNNNNNNNNNNNNNNNNNNNNNNNNNNNNNNNNNNNNNNNNNNNNNNNNNNNNNNNNNNNNNNNNNNNNNNNNNNNNNNNNNNNNNNNNNNNNNNNNNNNNNNNNNNNNNNNNNNNNNNNNNNNNNNNNNNNNNNNNNNNNNNNNNNNNNNNNNNNNNNNNNNNNNNNNNNNNNNNNNNNNNNNNNNNNNNNNNNNNNNNNNNNNNNNNNNNNNNNNNNNNNNNNNNNNNNNNNNNNNNNNNNNNNNNNNNNNNNNNNNNNNNNNNNNNNNNNNNNNNNNNNNNNNNNNNNNNNNNNNNNNNNNNNNNNNNNNNNNNNNNNNNNNNNNNNNNNNNNNNNNNNNNNNNNNNNNNNNNNNNNNNNNNNNNNNNNNNNNNNNNNNNNNNNNNNNNNNNNNNNNNNNNNNNNNNNNNNNNNNNNNNNNNNNNNNNNNNNNNNNNNNNNNNNNNNNNNNNNNNNNNNNNNNNNNNNNNNNNNNNNNNNNNNNNNNNNNNNNNNNNNNNNNNNNNNNNNNNNNNNNNNNNNNNNNNNNNNNNNNNNNNNNNNNNNNNNNNNNNNNNNNNNNNNNNNNNNNNNNNNNNNNNNNNNNNNNNNNNNNNNNNNNNNNNNNNNNNNNNNNNNNNNNNNNNNNNNNNNNNNNNNNNNNNNNNNNNNNNNNNNNNNNNNNNNNNNNNNNNNNNNNNNNNNNNNNNNNNNNNNNNNNNNNNNNNNNNNNNNNNNNNNNNNNNNNNNNNNNNNNNNNNNNNNNNNNNNNNNNNNNNNNNNNNNNNNNNNNNNNNNNNNNNNNNNNNNNNNNNNNNNNNNNNNNNNNNNNNNNNNNNNNNNNNNNNNNNNNNNNNNNNNNNNNNNNNNNNNNNNNNNNNNNNNNNNNNNNNNNNNNNNNNNNNNNNNNNNNNNNNNNNNNNNNNNNNNNNNNNNNNNNNNNNNNNNNNNNNNNNNNNNNNNNNNNNNNNNNNNNNNNNNNNNNNNNNNNNNNNNNNNNNNNNNNNNNNNNNNNNNNNNNNNNNNNNNNNNNNNNNNNNNNNNNNNNNNNNNNNNNNNNNNNNNNNNNNNNNNNNNNNNNNNNNNNNNNNNNNNNNNNNNNNNNNNNNNNNNNNNNNNNNNNNNNNNNNNNNNNNNNNNNNNNNNNNNNNNNNNNNNNNNNNNNNNNNNNNNNNNNNNNNNNNNNNNNNNNNNNNNNNNNNNNNNNNNNNNNNNNNNNNNNNNNNNNNNNNNNNNNNNNNNNNNNNNNNNNNNNNNNNNNNNNNNNNNNNNNNNNNNNNNNNNNNNNNNNNNNNNNNNNNNNNNNNNNNNNNNNNNNNNNNNNNNNNNNNNNNNNNNNNNNNNNNNNNNNNNNNNNNNNNNNNNNNNNNNNNNNNNNNNNNNNNNNNNNNNNNNNNNNNNNNNNNNNNNNNNNNNNNNNNNNNNNNNNNNNNNNNNNNNNNNNNNNNNNNNNNNNNNNNNNNNNNNNNNNNNNNNNNNNNNNNNNNNNNNNNNNNNNNNNNNNNNNNNNNNNNNNNNNNNNNNNNNNNNNNNNNNNNNNNNNNNNNNNNNNNNNNNNNNNNNNNNNNNNNNNNNNNNNNNNNNNNNNNNNNNNNNNNNNNNNNNNNNNNNNNNNNNNNNNNNNNNNNNNNNNNNNNNNNNNNNNNNNNNNNNNNNNNNNNNNNNNNNNNNNNNNNNNNNNNNNNNNNNNNNNNNNNNNNNNNNNNNNNNNNNNNNNNNNNNNNNNNNNNNNNNNNNNNNNNNNNNNNNNNNNNNNNNNNNNNNNNNNNNNNNNNNNNNNNNNNNNNNNNNNNNNNNNNNNNNNNNNNNNNNNNNNNNNNNNNNNNNNNNNNNNNNNNNNNNNNNNNNNNNNNNNNNNNNNNNNNNNNNNNNNNNNNNNNNNNNNNNNNNNNNNNNNNNNNNNNNNNNNNNNNNNNNNNNNNACGCCUCUUCAGCCUAUGGUGCAUUAGGCACAAACUGUGUACCUAUCUUGCACCGAAACUAACACUAUCUCCAAAGAGACCGAAGUGAGAUUCUAUAUGACACACAUCAUCUAGGAGUUCUAUUGGGAGCUUCCAAAUAUAUUUCGAAGCAUAUGGUACGUUCCAUGCAAUUCGUGCACCUAUCUUGCAUCAAGAUUAGCACUAUCUCCAAACAAAAGCAAACUGAGCUUCCACUUGAGCCCCUUUACCCAGGAGUAUCAUCGGGUGCAUCCAAAAUGGUUUCUUAGCCUAUAAUGCAUUAUGCGCAAACUGUGUACCUAUCUUGCACCAGAACUAACUCUGUCUCCAAACAGACCGAAGCAAGAUUCCAUAUGACACAUGUCAUCUAGGAGUUCUAUUGGGGUGCGCCCAAAUGGAUUUCUUAGCAUAUGGUAUGUUCCAUGCAAACCGUGCACCUAUCUUACAUCAAUAUUAGCACUAUCUCCAAACAGAUCGAACCGACCUUCCACUUGAGCCUCUUCACCUAGGAUUAUCAUCGGGUGCUUGCAUAACGGUAUCUGAGCCUAUGGUGCAUUAUGCGCAAACCAUGCACCAAUCUUGCACCUAAACUAACACUUUCUCCAAACAGAUUGAAGCGAGAUUCCAUAUGAAACACAUGAUCUAGGAGUUCUAUCGGGUGCGUCCAAAUUGAUUUCUGAGAAUAUGGUACGUUCCAUGCAAACCGUACACCUAUCUAUCAUCAAGAUUAGCACUAUCUCCAAACAGACCGAACCGAGCUUUCACUUGAGCCUCUUCACCUAGGAGUACCAUCGGGAACUUCCACAAUGAUUUCUGAGCCUAUGGUGCACUGGGCACAAACCAUGCAACUAUCUUGCACCGAAACUAAUACUAUCUCCAACUGGACCGAAGCGAGAUUCCAUAUGAUACACUUCAUCAAGUAGUUCCAUCGGGUGCAUCUACAGUUCCAUCGGGUGUGUCCAAAUUGAUUUCUGAGCAUAUGGUAUGUUCCAUGCAAACUGUGCACCUAUCUUGCAUCAAGAUUAGAACUAUCUCCAAACAGACAGAACCAAGAUUCCACAUGAGCCUCUUCACCAAGGAGUACCAUCGCAUGCGUCCAAAAUAGUUUCUUAGCCUAUGGUGCAUUAGGCACAAACCGUGUACUUAUCUUGCACCGAAACUAACACUAUCUCCAAAGAGACCGAAGUGAGAUUCUAUAUGACACACGUCAUCUAGGAGUUCUAUUGGGUGCUUCCAAAUAUAUUUCGAAGCAUAUGGUACGUUCCAUACAAUUCGUGCACCUAUCUUGCAUCAAGAUUAGCACUAUCUCCAAACAAAAGCAAACUGAGCUUCCACUUGAGCCCCUUUACCCAGAAGUAUCAUCGGGUGCAUCCAAAAUGGUUUCUUAGCCUAUGAUGCAUUAGGCGCAAACUGUGUACCUAUCUUGCACCAAAACUAAAUCUGUCUCCAAAUAGACCGAAGCGAGAUUCCAUAUGACACAUGUCAUCUAGGAGUUCUAUUUGGGUGCAUCUAAAUGGAUUUCUUAGCAUAUGGUAUGUUCCAUGCAAGUCAUGUCCUAUCUUGCAUCAAGAUUAGCACUAUCUCCAAACAGAUCGAACCAACCUUCCACUUGAGCCUCUUCACCUAGGAUUAUCAUCGGGUGCUUCCAUAAUGGUCUCUGAGCCGAUGGUGCAUUAUGCGCAAACCAUGCACCAAUCUUGCACCUAAACUAACACUGUCUCCAAACAGNNNNNNNNNNNNNNNNNNNNNNNNNNNNNNNNNNNNNNNNNNNNNNNNNNNNNNNNNNNNNNNNNNNNNNNNNNNNNNNNNNNNNNNNNNNNNNNNNNNNACCGAAACUAACACUAUCUCCAAGAGACCGAAGUGAGAUUCUAUAUGACACACAUCAUCUAGGAGUUCUAUUGGGAGCUUCCAAAUAUAUUUCGAAGCAUAUGGUACGUUCCAUGCAAUUCGUGCACCUAUCUUGCAUCAAGAUUAGCACUAUCUCCAAACAAAAGCAAACUGAGCUUCCACUUGAGCCCCUUUACCCAGGAGUAUCAUCGGGUGCAUCCAAAAUGGUUUCUUAGCCUAUAAUGCAUUAUGCGCAAACUGUGUACCUAUCUUGCACCAGAACUAACUCUGUCUCCAAACAGACCGAAGCAAGAUUCCAUAUGACACAUGUCAUCUAGGAGUUCUAUUGGGGUGCGCCCAAAUGGAUUUCUUAGCAUAUGGUAUGUUCCAUGCAAACCGUGCACCUAUCUUACAUCAAUAUUAGCACUAUCUCCAAACAGAUCGAACCGACCUUCCACUUGAGCCUCUUCACCUAGGAUUAUCAUCGGGUGCUUGCAUAACGGUAUCUGAGCCUAUGGUGCAUUAUGCGCAAACCAUGCACCAAUCUUGCACCUAAACUAACACUUUCUCCAAACAGAUUGAAGCGAGAUUCCAUAUGAAACACAUGAUCUAGGAGUUCUAUCGGGUGUGUCCAAAUUGAUUUCUGAGAAUAUGGUACGUUCCAUGCAAAUCGUACACCUAUCUUUCAUCAAGAUUAGUACUAUCUCCAAACAGACCGAACCGAGCUUUCACUUGAGCCUCUUCACCUAGGAGUACCAUCGAGAACUUCCACAAUGAUUUCUGAGCCUAUGGUGCACUGGGCACAAACCAUGCAACUAUCUUGCACCGAAACUAAUACUAUCUCCAACUGGACCGAAGCGAGAUUCCAUAUGAUACACUUCAUCUAGUAGUUCCAUCGGGUGCAUCUACAGUUCCAUCGGGUUUGUCCAAAUUGAUUUCUGAGCAUAUGGUAUGUUCCAUGCAAACUGUGCACCUAUCUUGCAUCAAGAUUAGAACUAUCUCCAAACAAACAGAACCAAUAUUCCACAUGAGCCUCUUCAGCCUAUGGUUCAUUAGGCACAAACUGUGUACCUAUCUUGCACCGAAACUAACACUAUCUCCAAAGAGACCGAAGUGAGAUUCUAUAUGACACACAUCAUCUAGGAGUUCUAUUGGGAGCUUCCAAAUAUAUUUCUAAGGAUAUGGUACGUUCGAUGCAAUUCGUGGACCUAUCUUGCAUCAAGAUUAGCACUAUCUCCAAACAAAGCAAACUGAGCUUCCACUUGAGCCCCUUUACCCAAGAGUAUCAUCGGGUGUAUCCAAAAUGGUUUCUUAGCCUAUGAUGCAUUAGGCGUAAACUGUGUACCUAUCUUGCACCAAAACUAACUCUGUCUCCAAACAGACCAAAGCGUGAUUCCAUAUGACACAUGUCAUCUAGGAGUUCUAUUAGGAUGCGUCCAAAUGGAUUUCUUAGCAUAUGGUAUGUUCCAUGCAAACUAUGCACCUAUCUGGCAUCAAUAUUAGCACUAUCUCUAAACAGAUUGAACUGACCUUCCACUUGAGCCUCUUCACCUAGGAGUAUUAUCGGGUGCUUCCAUAAUGGUUUCCGAGCCUAUGGUGCAUUAUGCGCAAACCAUGCACCCAUCUUGCACCUAUACUAACACUGUCUCCAAACAGAUUGAAGCAAGAUUCCAUAUGACACACAUGAUCUAGGAGUUCUAUCGGGUGCGUCCAAAUUGAUUUCGGAGAAUAUGGUAUGUUCCAUGCAAACCGUACACCUAUCUUGCAUCAAGAUUAGCUCUAUCUCCAAACAGACCAAACUAAGGUUUCACUUGAGCCUCUUCACCUAGGAGUACCAUCGGGAACUUUCACAACGGUUUCUGAGCCUAUGGUGCACUGGGGACAAACCAUGCACCUAUCUUGCACCAAAACUAAUACUAUCUCCAACUGGACUGAAGCGAGAUUCCAUAUGAUACACUUCAUCUAGUAGUUCCAUCGGGUGCAUCUAUAGUUCCAUUGGGUGUGUCCAAAUUGAUUUCUUAGCAUAUGGUAUGUUCUAUGAAAACCGUGCACCUAUCUUGCAUCGAGAUUAGAACUAUCUCCAAACAGACAUAACCAAGAUUCCACAUGAGCCUCUUCACCAAGGAGUACCAUCGCGUGCGUCCAAAAUAGUUUCUUAGACUAUGGUGCAUUAGGCACAAACCGUGUACCUAUCUUGCACCGAAACUAACACUAUCUCCAAAGAGACCGAAGUGAGAUUCUAUAUGACAGACGUCAUCUAGGAGUUCUAUUGGGUGCUUCCAAAUAUAUUUUGAAGCAUAUGGUACGUUCGAUGCAAUUCGUGCACCUAUCUUGCAUCAAGAUUAGCACUAUCUCUAAACAAAGCAAACUGAGCUUCCACUUGAGCCCCUUUACCCAGGAGUGCUUCCACUUGAGCACCUAUCUUGCAUCAAGAUUAGCACUAUCAUCAGGUGCAUCCAAAAUGGUUUCUUAGCCUAUGAUGCAUUAGGCGCAAACUGUGUACCUAUCUUGCACCAAAACUAACUCUGUCUCCAAACAGACCAAAGCAAGAUUCUAUAUGACACAUGUCAUCUAGGAGUUCUUUUGGGGUGUGUCCAAUUGGAUUUCUUAGCAUAUGGUAUGUUCCAUGCAAACUGUGCACCUAUCUUGCAUCAAGAUUAGCACUAUCUCCAAACAGAUCGAACUGACCUUCCACCUUCACCUAGGAUUAUCAUCGGGUGCUUCCAUAAUGGUUUCUGAGCCUAUGGUGCAUUAUGUGCAAACCAUGCACCAAUCUUGCACCUAAACUAACACUGUCUCCAAACAGAUUGAAGCGAGAUUCCAUAUGACACACAUGAUCUAGGAGUUCUAUCGGGUGCGUCCAAAUUGAUUUCUGAGAGUAUGGUGCACUGGGCACAAACCAUGCAACUAUCUUGCACCGAAACUAAUACUAUCUCCAACUGGACCGAAGCGAGAUUCCAUAUGAUACACUUCAUCUAGUAGUUCCAUCGGGUGCAUCUACAGCUCCAUCGGGUGUGUCCAAAUUGAUUUCUGAGCAUAUGGUAUGUUCCAUGCAAACCGUCCACCUAUCUUGCAUCAAGAUUAGAACUAUCUCCAAACAAACAGAACCAAGAUUCCACAUGAGCCUCUUCACCAAGGAGUACCAUCGCGUGCGUCUAAAAUAGUUUCUUAGCCUAUGGUGCAUUAGGCACAAACCGUGUACUUAUCUUGCACCAAAACUAACACUAUCUCCAAAGAGACCGAAGUGGGAUUCUAUAUGACACACAUCAUGUAGGAGUUCUAUUGGGUGCUUCCAAAUAUAUUUCUAAGCAUAUGGUACGUUCGAUGCAAUUCAUGCACCUAUCUUGCAUCAAGAUUAGCACUAUCUCCAAACAAAGCAAACUGAGCUUCCACUUGAGCCCUGUGGGGGUAUAAACCCCUAUACCCUUACGGCUAGACUUGGGCCAGGAGGCUUGGCCCAUUACGAGACAAGUUCGAGGCUUGAUCCGACAGCUCGGAGUUUCGUGCAAGGAAACAAGACGUGGAGAUCAAGCAGGAUUCUAGUCGGUUAGAAUAGGAAUUGAUAUCGAACUAUCUAUGACAAUUGUAACCGACUAGGAUUAGUUUCCAGAUCUGUAACCCUGCCCUCCGGACUAUAUAAGGAGGGGCAAGGAACCCCCUAGGACAUAUUAUUAUUCUCAAUCCAAUACAAUCAGACGCAGGACGUAGGUAUUACGCCCACACGGCGGCCGAACCUGGAUAAAAAGCUUGUCCGUGUCUUACGUCACCAUUGAGUUCGUAGUUUGCGCACCGUCUACCGAUAAACUACUACCAUGGGUAUACCCCAAGGUAGACUGCCGACUAGCUUUCGUCGACAGUGGCGCGCCAGGUAGGGGGUGUGCGUACAACUUUUCCAGCGAACAAGAUGGUCAUCGUUCAAGCUUCCGCGGCCGUGCCUGAAGGCCUCACGUUCACCGUCGGCCAGAUUACGUGGACAACCCAAGGCGGUGGCCCCACGGUCACGGUUUCGGAAGAAACCCAGAUCCGAUCUGGGAUGAUGGCGGCAUCGGCUCCGACCACGCGGACACCGGCACCGAGCACCCGACCACCGCUUCCGCGCUAUAGGGGAAUGAAGAUUGAUGGCUCGGACCUUUUUCGAGCUCUUGAUCGCGCCGAUCUCAAGCUUCUCGAAGCUUCCCGACUAAUAGAUGGGAUCUCGCGCCAGCCUGACCAAGCCACGUCAACGGAAUUUUACAACUCCCACCGGCCAACUCGUGUCGUCACACACGAACAGCUGGGAACGUCUCUGACGAUAACCUCGACCCCCUCAGGACGGUCCGUCAAACUCGAGGCUGGUCCAGAUCAAGGCUCUCCUUACGGGCUGGACAAUUCAGCCGUUCACUACUCACGGCACAUCCAAUCCCUCUUCAACGGGGCUGGUUGGUUGCCAAAGCGAAGCAAUCGACCAGCACGACACUACGUCAACAUGGUGACGAUCCAAGAACUACGGAACGGCCAGGCUUCCAGCACAAACUCUAGCACUGGCUCCGUUCCUACCGAAGUCAUAAAUUCCGAGGACGAAGACUACGACCUGGAUUUACCACCGUAUCCUCCGGGUUUCUCUCGCUUCCCGGUCUUUCCACCUUGGCGUGGAGACCUCGUUUUCAAUGUCAGCGCCGACGAGCUGGUCGUUGACGGAGAAACAGACGAGCAGAGGCAGCUCCGCGAGCAGCGCAAUGCUGACCGCGCCCGACGACGCGCGGACGAGGAACGCCAACUCCCGCCACAUAACCUCACCGACGCUUUCGACAUGGUCGGGGAUCAGCCAGUCUACAAAACGCCAAGCGCCAACGUGGCUGUCGCCAUGGCCAACUUAGAUGGAGUCCCUGAUACUCCCGAAUGCCAGGGCAUCCGAUCCAGCGUUCGAGCACACCUGAUCGCCGCGAUGGGACAGACAGCCACUCUGCUCAAAAGAGUCCAUGCUAUCUCCUAUACAGAGGUCUCCUCCGACCAGACUCAUCGCAGCUGGACCUCACCACAACCCAGCAGGCACCACCGCAACCGUUCCCCCAACAAUCAUCGAAAAGAUUCACGGCGUGACGAUGGAGGUCGGGAAGCUGGCGGCCAUCGCGAGCAGAAUUGCAGGCGUGGUCAGGAAGUAAACCAGCACAGGGAUCUUCGAUACAACAUCCCUCCCAAAGACGCCCGAGACCGCAUCAACAGGCGCGCCACGGAGAGAGCAGUCCACGAAAACCUGCGUCGUAUUGAGUACGAUGCAACACACGGCCCCCCGGGCCUGAGAUAGUUCUCUUCACACCUCCGCCAGGUCGUGUGGCCCCGCAAUUUCAAGCUCGAGAAACUCAAAAAAUACGACGGUAAGGAAAACCCAGAGAACUGGAUCACUCUUUAUGAGAUCGUCGUCCGAUCAGUAGCAGGAGAUGAGCACGUCAUGGCCAACUACUUCCCAGUAGUCCUCGACUAGGCUGGUCGCCAGUGGCUCCUUGGCCUGCCCGAGGACUCUUUCGACUCUUGGGAAGAACUAUGCCAGGCUUUCAUCGACAACUUCAUCGCCACCUGGGAGCAGCCUGGGAACAAGUACGACCUCGAAAGGAUAAGGGACAGGAAAAACGAGCCUCUGCACGAUUACAUCCGACGAUUCUCGGAUAUGCGCCUUAAGAUCCCGAAAAUUUCCCACGACGAGGCCAUAUCUGCUUUCAUCAAGGGGCUGCGCUUCCAUGAAGUACUGAGGAACAAGCUACUGCGCAAAAGGCCAACAACGAUGGCCGAGCUCCUCGCCACGGCUAAAAAUUACACCGACGCUGACGACGCAGAAAAACUCAUCCGGGACGAUGCGAGAGGUCCCGACCAGCCUCCUCGACGAGAUGAUAGUCGAGGUCGUUUUGACAACAGGAACCAUCGUCGCCCCGACAACCGAGAAGGCUGGGACAGGCAGCGUGACAAUCGUGACGACUUCAGAGGCAAGCGCCCUCGCGACCACGACCACGAGGUGAAUACGGUAAAGCAUCCCAAUGCGCGGCGAGACUACCAGGAAGACUACAACAAGACGUUGAAGGGACCAUGCCAACUGCAUCCAAAAUCCAACCACACGAUGGAGGAAUGUCGCGUCCUAAAAAACAUCUACACACGGUGGGCUGCUCAAGACGACCCCGCCAAGAAAAAUGGGAAACAGGACGGGCGCGAUCAUGAAGAUGAGGACGAGGACCAGGACAGGGACCCACGACACCAGUAUGUCAGUCCCACCGACGUGGUCCACUCCAUCUUCGGGGGCAAGGUCUUCAUCGAAUCUAAGCGAGAAAGAAAGCUCUUAAAGAGAGCCUGCCUCGACAUAGACAGCACGGAUGGCCUGAUCGCAGAUCCAAAAUUUCCUCCCUGGUCACACAGGGAAAUCUCCUUCAGCAGGAAGGAUCAGUGGGCCGCUAUCCUAGAGCCAGGACGUUUCCCUCUAAUCUUGGAUCCUUGCAUCAAUAGCAUCAGAUUCGAGUGCGUGCUCGUCGACGGGGGAAGUUCCAUCGACAUCCUCUUUCGCAAUAGUUUACCUGCCCUCAAGAUAACCCCAGCACAGUUAAAGCCAUACGAUGCUCAAUUCUGGGAGUCUUGCCAGGUCAAAGUUCAGUGCCCCUCGGACAGAUAACACUGCCUGUCCAAUUCGGCACAUCUGACCACUUUCGAACGGAGUUCGUCAACUUUGUGGUCGCCGACUUUGAUGGAACAUACCACGCUAUACUGGGCCGACCAUCGCUGACAAAGUUCAUGGCAGUUCCACAUUACUCAUACCUGGUCCUCAAAAUGCCUACAGAGAAGGGCGUCCUAACUGUCAGAGGCAAUGUCUACACUGCAUACACUUGCGAGGAGGAGAGCUUCAAGAUCACCGAAGCAAUUGAUCUUUCAAAUCGCAUGGCAGAAACAGCAGCCCAAGCUGCACAGCUACCUCCUGACCACCUCUGACUACCCGAGCAGGAGACCGCUAGGAAGAAUUCAAAGUCCAAGGAGUACAAGGAAGUACAGCUGGUCGAAGGCAGCCCCGAGAAGACGGCCCUCAUCGGGGCCAACCAGGAUCCUAAAUAGGAAGACGCGCUCGUCAGGUUUCUAAGGGACAACGUGAGCGUUUUCGCAUGGAAACCCGCAGACAUGUCCGGCGUUCCACGAAACCUGAUCGAGCACUCCUUAAAUGUCUUGAAGACCGCAAGGCCCAUCAAGCAAAAGCUGCAACAGUUCGCUCGUGACAAAAAGGAGGCUAUUAGGACAGAAAUAACACGGCUUUUAGCUGCCGGAUUUAUAAAAGAGGUGUAUCAUCCCGAUUGGCUCGCCAAUCCGGUUCUUGUACGCAAAAAGAAUAAUGAAUGGAGAAUGUGCGUUGAUUACACUGAUCUCAAUAAACACUGUCCUAAAGAUCCUUUUGGUCUCCCUCGCAUCGACGAGGUGGUCGACUCAACGGCCGGAUGCGAACUCCUCUCUUUUCUAGACUGCUACUCUGGUUAUCACCAGAUCUCGCUAAAGGAGGAUGAUCAGAUCAAAACGUCUUUCAUUACUCCUUUCGGCAUAUACUGCUACAUGACCAUGUCCUUUGUACUCAAAAAUGCCGGAGCCACCUAUCAACGGGCCAUCCAGCAAUGCCUCCACGACGAGAUUCGUGACGACCUCGUCGAGGCUUAUGUAGACGACAUCGUCGUCAAAACAAGGGACGCAAGCACCCUAAUCGACAACUUAGACCGAACCUUUAAGGCACUAAACAAGUACAAAUGGAAGCUUAACCCCAAAAAGUGCAUCUUUGGGGUCCCCUCUGGUCUACUGCUCGGCAACGUCGUCAGCCGCGACGGCAUACGACCGAAUCCUUCAAAAGUAAAAGCAGUGCUCGACAUGCGACCACCAAAGAACGUCAAGGAUAUCCAGAACCUCACCAGAUGUACGGCCGUCCUCAGCCGCUUCAUCUCAAGACUAGGAGAAAAAGGCCGCCCCUUCUUCAAACUCUUGAAGGCGUCAGAAAAAUUCUCCUGGACAGAGGAAGCUGACGCUACGUUCACCCAGCUCAAGACUUUCCUCACCUCACCGCCUGUUCUCACAGCGCCUCAGCCCAAUGAAGACCUACUUCUUUACAUUGCAGCAACCGACAGGGUCGUCUCCACGGCAAUAGUGGUCGAGCGAGAUGAGCCAGGCCACGUCUACAAGGUCCAGAGACCCGUUUAUUUCAUAAGCGAAGUCUUAAAUGAGUCCAAGGCCAGAUACCCACAAAUACAUAAGCUCAUAUACGCAAUUCUAAUAACGUCGAGGAAGCUAAAACACUACUUCGAAGGCCAUCUGGUCUUGGUAACCACCAGUUUCCCCCUUGGGGAUAUUCUGCGCAAUAAAGACGCCAACGGCAGAAUUAUAAAAUGGGCAAUGGAGUUAUGCCCAUUCUCCCUGGAUUUCCAGAGCCGCACCACAGUCAAGUCUCAGGCCCUGGUCGAUUUCAUCGCAGAGUGGACGGAUCUUAACGAGCCUCCCGUUACUCAGGAGUAUCAUCGGGUGCAUCCAAAAUGGUUUCUUAGCCUAUGAUGCAUUAGGCACAAACUGUGUACCUACCUUGCACCAAAACUAACUCUGUCUACAAACAGACCAAAGCGAGAUUCCAUAUGACACAUGUCAUCUAGGAGUUCUAUUGUGAUGCGUCCAAAUGGAUUUCUUAGCAUAUGGUAUGUUCAAUGUAAACCGUGCACCUAUCUUGCAUCAAGAUUAGCACUAUCUCCAAACAAAUCGAACCGACCUUCCACUUGAGGCUCUUCACCUAGGAGUAUUAUCGAGUGCUUCCAUAAUGGUUUCCGAGCCUAUGGUGCAUUAUGCGCAAACCAUGCACCAAUCUUGCACCUGAACUAACACAGUCUCCAAACAGAUUGAAGCAAGUUUCCAUAUGACACACAUGAUCUAGGAGUUCUAUCAGGUGCGUCCAAAUUGAUUUUUGAGAAUAUUGUACGUUCCAUGCAAACCGUACACCUAUCUUUCAUCAAGAUUACCUCUAUCUCCAAACAGACCGAACCGAGCUUUCACUUGAGCCUCUUCACCUAGGAGUACCAGCGGGAACUUCCACAACGAUUUCUGAGCCUAUGGUGCACUGGGCACAAACCAUGCAACUAUCUUGUACCGAAACUAAUACUAUCUCCAACUGGACCGAAGCGAGAUUCCAUAUGAUACACUUCAUCUAGUAGUUCCAUCAGGUGCAUGUACAGUUCCAUCGGGUGUGUCCAAAUUGAUUUCUGAGCAUAUGGUAUGUUCUAUGCAAACCGUGCACCUAUCUUGCAUCAAGAUUAGAACUAUCUCCAAACAGACAGAACCAAGAUUCCACAUGAGCCUCUUCACCAAGGAGUACCAUCGCGUGCGUCCAAAAUAGUUUCAUAGCCUAUGGUGCUUUAGCCACAAACCGUGUACCUAUCUUGCACCAAAACUAACACUAUCUCCAAAGAGAACGAAGUAGGAUUCUAUAUGACACACAUCAUCUAGGAGUUCUAUUGGGUGCUUCCAAAUAUAUUUCUAAGCAUAUGGUGCGUUCGAUGCAAUUCGUGCACCUAUCUUGCAUCAAGAUUAGUACUAUCUCCAAUCAAAGCAAAAUGAGCUUCCACUUGAGCCCCUUUACCCAGGAGUAUCAUCGGGUGCAUCCAAAAUGGUUUCUUAACUUAUGAUGCAUUAGGCACAAACUGUGUACCUAUCUUGCACCAAAACUAACUCUGCCUCCAAACCGACCAAAGCGAGAUUCCAUAUGACACAUGUCAUCUAGGAGUUCUAUUGGGAUGCGUCCAAAUGGAUUUCUUAGCAUAUCGUAUGUUCCAUGCAAACCGUGCACCUACCUUGCAUCAAGAUUAGCACUAUCUCCAAACAGAUCGAACCGACCUUCCACUUGAGCCUCUUCACCUAGGAGUAUUAACGGGUGCUUCCACAACGAUGUCUGAGCCUACGGUGCACUGGGCACAAACCAUGCAACUAUCUUGCACUGAAACUAAUACUAUCUCCAACUGGACCAAAGCGAGAUUCCAUAUGAUACACUUCAUCUAGUACUUCCAUCGGGUGCAUCUACAGUUCCAUCGGGUGUGUCCAAAUUGAUUUCUGAGCAUAUGGUAUGUACCAUGCAAACCGUCCACCUAUCUUGCAUCAAGAUUAGAACUAUCUCCAAACAAACAGAACCAAGAUUCCACUUGAGCCUCUUCACCAAGGAGUACCAUCAUGUGCGUCCAAAAUAGUUUCAUAGCCUAUUGUGCAUUAGGCACAAACCAUGUACCUAUCUUACACCGAAACUAAAACUAUCUCCAAAGAGAGUGAAGUAAGAUUCUAUAUGACACACGUCAUCUAGGAGUUCUAUUGGGUGCUUUCAAAUAUAUUUCAAAGCAUAUGGUACGUUCCAUGCAAUUCGUGCACCUAUCAUGCAUCAAGAUUAGCCCUAUCUCUAAACAAAAGCAAACUGAGCUUCCACUUGAGCCCCUUUACCCAGGAGUAUCAUCGGGUGCAUCCAAAAUGGUUUCUUAGCCUAUGAUGCAUUAGGCGCAAACUGUGUACCUAUCUUGCACCAAAACUAACUCUGUCACCAAAUAGACCAAAGCGAGAUUCUAUAUGACACAUGUCAUAUAGGAGUUCUAUUGGGGUCCGUCUAAAUGGUUUUCUUAGCAUAUGGCAUGUUUCAUGCAAACCGUGCACCUAUCUUGCAUCAAGAUUAGCACUAUCUCCAAACAGAUCGAACUGACCUUCCACUUGAGCCUCUUCACCCAGGAUUAUCAUUGGGUGCUUCCAUAAUGGUUUCUGAGCCUAUGGUGCAUUAUGCGCAAACCAUGCACCAAUCUUGCACCUAAACUAACACUGUCUCCAAACAGAUUGAAGCAAGAUUCCAUAUGACACACAUGAUCUAGGAGUUCUAUUAGGUGCAUCCAAAUUGAGUUCUGAGAAUAUGGUAUGUUCCAUGCAAACCGUACACCUAUCUUGCAUCAAGAUUAGCACUAUCUCCAAAUAGACCGAACCGAGCUUUCACUUGAGCCUCUUCAUCUAGGAGUACCAUUGGGAACUUCCACAAUGAUUUCUGAUGAGGACAUCAACACCAGCGAUACAUAUCCUACAUCCACCAGCGAUACAUAUCCUACAUCCUCUCCGACACAACCUAUAGCUGGUCCUCUUACUCGUGCUCGUGCCCGUCAACUCAACCUUCAAGUAAGUUCAGUUUUAAACUCUUGUCAAUCAUAUUUAGACAAUGGAGACACGUGCACUUUCGUGUUGCUCAGGAAUAAUGGACAAGAUCAGCAAGGGAAGGUUCAACUGCAUUCAGAAUUUGAGGCAACACCAACUUCAAGGGCUGAUUGCAUAUGGGAAGAGUGAUAACUUAACAAAGGUGAUUGGAGAUCAGGUCCAAGCCUCCACAACAUCCUCUAUCAAGUUACCACGUCGCUUCUAAAGGAAGGAAACAAAGAGUCCAAACCCAACACGUUUUGGGAGUUGGAUUCGGACUGGAAAAUAACUCUAACUUGUAUGGAUCACCACGGCGUCAUAUGGACUCCAACUGGGACGUUCCUAUACUUGUUGGAAAGCUCAUGAAGUCUACUUUCCAAUGGGUCCAACCACAUAUCUAUGCAGCUUAUGAGUCGGGCGCAGUCCUUGUUUUCGUGCCGACACCUUUUUCUGUUUUGGUGCUGCGUCACCCUAUUUUGGACCAAUGGCCCAUGUAUCAAGUUGAGUCCAUUAGGGACGCGUCCUAGGGUUGGAGGACGACUCUAGCACCCCUUUGGUCGUCCUCCCCUCUAUUUAUUUACAUCUAGAGCCGCCAUGAACAACUGAGUUUUGAUUAGAUAAAGUUUAGCCUUCGCUACUUGCUUGUAAACGCGCGUGCUGAUCCAGCCGCCCGUCUUCUUGUUUUCGAAACCCCACUUCAUUAGAGAUUGAGUUUGAAACCUUCAUUUACAUCUAGUAAUUUAGUACUUGUUCUACUUGUUCUUGCUGGUUCUUCGAUUGCUUGCAGGACGAGUGCCCUAGUGGCCGGGUGUUGCGCUCCAUAAGAUCGUGACAGCCAUUGGAGGCGGUGUAUCGGUUGCUAAGGCGCAGUCUUGAGGGCUGUAGUCGGGCCGUGAACGUCAUCUCCAUUCACUAAUCGAGUUAUCCAGCGCCUCUCAUCGAAAGAUCAGGCGAAAACCCUAGUGGGUUCACAUCAGUUGGUAAUCAGAGCAAGGUUUAUCGGUGAGAGAUUUCCAAUUCUUCGUGUUUGUUUUUCCUAUAGUCCAAAAAAAAGACAAAAAAAUAUAGCAGAUUUGUUUUCCAUAAUCCUAUAAAUCCUUUGUGCCGUGGCUAGUACUACUUAGUUAGGGCUGGUUGAAUGAGUGUUUGCUUCGGUCAUGUCCAGUGCUGGUUUUAGUUUAGUCCUUUAGAGUUUUGAGUUCUUGUCACCAUCUAGUCACAACUGCGUCCAAUCUAUUGUGGGUUGGAAUUUGAGUAGAUCUUGAUAAUAGGUGCAGCCACUUGUUUGUCUAUUCUGCGUUUCCAUCAACGUGAUCCAAAAGGAAAGAUAGCACUUCAUACUUGUGCUAGAUAUAUUGAAUUUUGAGGUUCAGCCUUACUCUAGUGAGAGGGUGAGAGUGGUGAAGUGAUAUUUUGUACUAUUUCAUUUAUAUAAUCAGGUUUUGAGGUUCCUCAAAAAAAAGAAAAGAGAAAGAAAAAAAUAAAGAAAAAAAAAGAAAGAAAGAAAGAAAAAAGAAAAAAAAAAUCAAAAGAAGGGGAUUGUUGUUCCUUUUGUUUCCAGUAGGGCUGCUCAUUUUGUUUCUAGUGGUGUGAUGUGUUUUCCCUUUGUGUCCAGGCUCGCGUCUCUAGCACGGUCUAGGCUAGGACCAGCACAGUACCACCGUUGAGUGUUUAUUCAGCUCGCUUUUAUAACUAACGUGGUGCUAGUUCGUUCCUUGUUUCAGCCCACCUAUAGCUCCACAUACUCUACAGCUUGACAGGUCUUGUGCUGCAGCACCGAUACACUUCGUCCAUUGCUGUACACUUGUUGGCAGACGACCCCUCCUGUCAAGCAAGGUAAGAAUUGGUAAGAACUUGUGUUACAGGUUGAGUGUGAGCGACUUGCUGUAGCUACAUCCUAGUAGUUGUAGGGCUUUUAUUUCUUCACUUGCCUUUUUGUUGUCUUUGUCUUUGAACCAUGCUAGGGGCAGAUGAUGGUAACGAAACACCACUUACACCUCGCACUAAGGGCAUCAUACAACAUUUUGAAAGGAAAGUGAAGCUGCACACAGAGGGACUUGAUAAUGACUUGCAGGUGACAAAUGAAAAGCUGGGACAGUUGGAGGCUACGCAGAUUGCCACAAACAACAAGCUCACAAGUUUGGAGGAAUCCGUUGCUAGUGUGGACAAAAGCCUUGCUGCUCUCCUAAGGCGAUUUGAUGCUUUCCACACAAUGGACAAAGAGAAGCAUAAGGAAGAAAACAAGGAGGAAGACCGAGUGGAUGGCAAUUAUGAUGAUGAUUACACUGCUGAUACGGAACGAGAUGAUCAAGACACUCAUCAUCGACGUCACCUACGUCACACCCGUAGAGGUAUGGGUGGCCACCACCGACGCGAGGUACACAAU